rnacentral:lncRNA from 1 species
UUAUUGGAAACGACACAAAGAUAUAUUGAUAGAAAAAGAAGUACAAGAAGAAGGAUGAGAAAUCCUCCCGCCAAAGACAACUAAAUUACAUGAAAAUACACAUAAAACAAACAAACUCCCGCUAAGGACCAAUCCUUAUGGAGUACACACCGCUAUCCAAUCCAGUUGAAUCACAUUAAGGAGAGUCCCCUUAAAUGCCUUGGAACAGAAAGCCCAAAGGGAAGCAAGGAAAACAAUAGAGUCCCAAAGGAUCUCUGAAUUCCUUGCUUUAUCCUCGAAAAUCCUUGCAUUUCUUUCCCACCACACAACCCGAAUUAGAGUUAUGCUCUCAGCUUGCCACAAAACUAUCCCUCUCUUAGAAUUACUGAAGCCUUUAAAUUUGAUGCACAUCAUGUCAUAUAUGCUCCUUGGAGGAACCUAAUCCAUCUCAGCUAACUGAAAUAACCUGUGCCACAACCCAAUCGUCAAGGAACAAUGAAGAAAAAGAUGAUCUGCUGAUUCCCCAUGCUUCAUGCACAGAAUACAAAUAUUAGGACUAAGGGCUUUGUAGGGUCCUUGACCAUUUUAUCAAAUACAAUUCCUUUCCAUCUAGCCAAUUUUUUAUGGAAAUCAAGAGUUCCUUCUAAGGUCAUAGUCUUUACUUGGCUAGUAGCACAUAAAAAGGUAAACACCAAUGACAUGCUACAAUUGAGAAGGCCCUUCAAAGCCCCUUGUCCUGAUUGGUGCAUCCUGUGUAGGGGGAGAGAAGAGACAACUGAUCAUCUCAUCCUACAUUGUCCAAUUAUUUUGGGGUUAUGGCACAAGCUAUUCUACCAAGUUGGAAUGGUGUGGGUUCAACCAAGGAGUAUUUGUGACAUGACAGUUAUUUCCUUUUAUGUGUUUUGAGAAUUCUAUUAAAGAUAAGACUCUUUGGAAGAUUGGUUCUCUCACUUUGAUGUGGAUUGUGUGGAGAGAGAGGAAUGCCAGGAAUUUUUAGGAGACUUACAAAUGCCUAAAAUGAUGUAGGACUUGAUUCAUUUCUUUGUUUCUUUUUAGGCCUACUAUACUAAUGUUUUCAAACCUUUCCCCUUGAGUGCCAUUCAUCUCUCAGUAUGUACACCUUAGGGUUGGGCUUUCUUGGUGAGGAGCCGAGUUGAGCUUUUAGUGUUGUAUUUUUUGUAAUCUUUUUAUUAUUUUUGUGCAAAUCUCCUUGAAAAGCAAAGGUUUUCUUGCAUGUUUUGAUCAGAUUUGUAUUUCAUGGGGAGGAUUUCUCAUCCUUCUUAUGUUUUCUUAUCAUUAGUUAAUACAUCUCUUUUAGUAAGUUUUUGGGAUUGCCAGUGGAUGGAAUGAGAAGGAAAUUGCUUCCCUGUUGAGAAAGAUGGAAAGCAGAAAGAGUCAAAGGAAUUCAAUCAAAAAGAGGAGGCCACCCUCCACGCCCCGUUUAGUCAGGUAGUUGCGAAACUUGAAAUGCUCGGUCAAUUACUGCAACUCAAAUAUAAGAAAGAGGAGCAGGAGUAAUUGGUGGGAGAUGGAGUAUAAGUGAUUGUGUUCUAGGUUUAUAAUUCCUAAGGGUCGAAGGUGGUGGGCUCAGGGAGGGCUAAGAAGAGCGGCUUUGGCAGUUUUCACCCAAUCUAGGGUUUUUUGUCUAAUUAGGUUGUAAAAGUGAAGCCUUUAGUUAGGAGGGCUGGUUUGUGGUUGCUCUUUUUUUUCACUUGUAUUCGGUUGCUUCUUGUAUACUUUGUGCGUACUCUUUAUGCCUUUUCCAAGUGCUUUUAAUAUAUUUGCUUUGUCUAACUAUCAAAAAAAAAAAAAAUAUUGUCAUUGUAUUAAUAUCAAAAUUUAGUAACGAACUUCAGAUAAAUCUAACCAACUUUUCACUUCCCCAAAAUAUAAAAGUCCUAAUUGCGCACACAAAACUUAGGGUCAGGAAGUUGUUGCCUCUCACAAUUCAAAUUUUGAAAAUUGUAAAGACCUAAAGGUCAAUUAAUGACCCACUUGUUCAUAGAGAACAUGGGGAUAAGAACCCAGAUAGAGAAAUUAAAAGUACCUCGCACUUAAACAAAUAAAAUCAAUUCCAGCAUGAAGGUGAAUAGUAAACCCAACAAAAGAAGAAGAAGAAGACUUGAAAACCAUUGAGGUUCAACAGUCAACCACUUACACCAAAUAAGAAUCCACAUGCCACCAUGCCCAAAGGAUUUCUAGGACAAGGUUGCAAGAAGCUGAAUUGGUUGUGUUUGCAAUAGGAUCGUAUCAAAAUGGAGUCAUGCUACACACCUUGGAAUUCCUAAGCUAAUUAUUUGGGACUGGAUGUUUAGAUUCCUCAUAGAAAAUGUCAAAGUGUGAGCAUAUUUCAAACCAAACAUAUUCCAUUUACAAAUUUACAUUUGACGGAUAAAACAGCAAAUCAAGUUUGAAUUUCAGCAAAACAAGAAAUAUAGGAUGCAUUCAAAUGGCAUUAACAGGAAAUUGAAUGGACAAUACUGACCUUUUCCAUUGUCUCAUAUAUAGGACAAAUGAUUUGCUCAAGGAAGGAAACUGAACCAUCUGCAGUUAUACAACUGGCAGCAUGAUUAGCUUCACCAUGAUCCAAUAUUGCAUCUAACUCUCUUGCCAUCUGCACAACCAAUAAACAUUCCAAUUUUACUUAUGAUGUUUAUUUACUUUCUGGGUUGUCAGGAUUAAAUGUAAGAACAUGAAAUCAACUUUCUGAAACAGCAGAAAGAUUCAAACAAACAAUUGGGAAGAACUCUAAAACUUCUUUCUUAAAAAUCAAUCAAUAAACAACGAAGAUAAAGAAAGAGUGGAUCCUUGGAGAGUACAACUUACAGAUCAAAAGCUAGUGUAAAACAAAAGUUCUAAAUAUGGUAAAAAAAUAAAAAGCAUUUUAUUAGGAGACUGAACCAAGUCAACAGAUCCAACAGCAGAACAAAUAAAAAGCAUGAAAGGAGCUUACAUGGUGGAAUAUAUAGCAUAUGCAUUCAGGAAGGAAACGAACAUUUGCAGCUUCACCCCAUAUGAGAAAGUACAAUGAAACCAGAAAAAGUCUCCUGUCCCUAUUAAUUGCUUCUAUACUGAGGAACCAAAUUUAGAACCCAGAUCAGUGGCAUAUGAUGGAAAUGAAGUUUCGGAAUAGCAGAAAGCUUCAGAAUUCACCUAUUCCAUGCAAGACGUAUCCGCAAGUAUUUGCACCAUUUGAUGUAGUUAUCCAGCACCUUCAAGAAAACUUCAGUGACAGCUUUUUCAUCAAUUUUCUACACAGGUCAGACGUAAAAGUGUCAGUUCUACAAUGCCAGCACAAUGCAUGACCAAUUUCUAGCUGAAAACCAUAACCAACUAAAAUUUCUAGCUGAAAACUAUAACCAACUAAGGCAUUAGAAACCUCCAAUAAUUGUACAGAAUCCCAUGAAAUUUCAUGCGAAAGAUGCAUUAUGUUGCAUUAUGAAGUCAUAAAAAAUUGCAUUUUUUCAGGACAAAGCAAAAUCUUUUGAAAUAACUAAGUUGAAGUUGAAUAUAAUAUGAACAAAAUAAUAAUAAAUCAAAAUAACUUAAACAGGGUAAAUACAAAUUAUUUAACAAGAUCAUGUGCACCACUCACUGGAUUAGCUUCAACAGGUAUGCCAAGUCGACACUGUGCAUUUGCUACAGUAAGAACAACAUUUUCCCGUUGGUUUUGUAUGUUGUCUUUCUGCAAAUAAGACAUUUAAAGUAAUUAAAACAAAGAAAAAUGUAAAAAAAAAAAAAAAAUAGAACGAAUAGUUAAAAUCUAAUUAAAGGCCUUCAAAAAAAGAAAAAAAAAUGACAAAAUUUUAGUCAUGUGUAACUCUUAAAUAAAAAACUUGUAUCACUUACCCUCACUUUUAUUCAUUUAUCUGAAAAAAAAAAAAAGAUCUUGAAAUUUCAUGGUAAAAUAAUUGAUUUUUGUUUUGGUCAAAAAUCUCUUGCAGGAACUUUUUGGGUACAAGAAGAAUUACUGAUAUUAUUGAAAUUUUUAAUGAAAUUUCUCACUGAAAUAUUUUUAAAAUUCACUUUGGAAAUGUUUUCUUACUGAAUUUUUUUAAUUACUGCAAUUAUGAGAAUUUACAUUCAUAGUUUUUCUUGUUCAAAUAAUUUUGUUAUAACAUUUAAAAUUUGUUUCUCACAAUUUUAUUGUCCUUCUAGUUUUGUGGAAAAGAAUGGUUCUUAUUAUUUUAUUUUUAACAAAAUGAUACAGUAUUUUUUUUAUUAGAAACAAAAUACAUACUAAUUACGGAUAAAAAGUACAUGAAAAGUACUGAGGUCCUCCCCACAAUUUACAAAAAACUGAUCAAAGUAUGACUAAAAUCCUCCACUACACAAGGAGAUCUAUACAAAAAGGUUUAGUCAACAUGAGGAUGUAUUCAGGUGUCAUCUCCUCAAUCUCAAACUAAGCUCCUCUCAUUGUUGUCCAAUGUUUAUAGUUUACAAUCCUACAAAACUACGAAACUGAAGCACAUGAAAUUAGGAACAUGGCUAAUUCCUAUAAAUUCUCUAUCCUACAAAUCAGGAAAAUAAAAUAGGAAAGUAUAUAGUUGUAUAAUCUCAGAAAUUAUGGAAAUUAUACAAAUAUACAAUUUCAAAAAUCAAAGAAUUAAUUAUCAUGUAUUUCAUAUCAGACUGGUCAAUACUCCCCCUCAAGUUGUUGAAUAGAUACUAUCCAUUCCUAACUUUCCAGUUAUCUUUUGAAAUGAUUCACUAAAUAGACCCCAUGUUAGGAUAUCAGCAAGGUGUCCACAAAAAACAAAUAAACAAUUAAGGUUGUGACUUCACCAGUUGUUCAUUGUUUGAUAAAAAGAGUAUAAUACUCUCAACUCUAUCGAAACUUCCAAUUUCUCAUAGCUUUAGCAAAUCUUCCAAACCAUGUCUAGGAGAAUGUUUUAAACCAUAAAAUGUCUUUUGUAGUCUACAUACUUUAUUAGCCUUGAAUCCAUCACUGAACCUUGGAGGUGCUUCCAUGCAAACCUCUUCUUUUAGGUCACCGUGCAAGAAGGCGUUCUUAACAUCAAGCAAAGACCAGCCAAGAUUAGCUACUAAGGACAAUAAUAUUCAGAUGGUAUUCAUAUUUGCCACAAAAGUAAUGGUUUCCUAACAAUCCACUCGAUAUGUUUGAAUGCAGCCUUUAGCUAUAGGCCUUGUUUUGCAUCUCUCUAAGGUUCCAUCUGCCUUAUACUUAAAACAACGCUAGUUUCUUCCCUUUGGAUAAUUAAACAAUCACACAUAUCUUCUUUUUUCAAAAGCACUCAUAUUCUCAACCAUAGAUUUCCUCCAACUUUAGUUCCGACGUGCCUCUCGCACAAUUGAUGGAAUUUCAUUAAGAUUUAACUGGGUGAUGAAGGCCUGGUGUUGUGUGGGCCUGGCAGGAGUAAUCCCAUUAGGCAAGCAAACUUGGGAUUGGGCCAUCAAUCUGUAAGGGUGUAGGCAGGCCAGGAGUGUAGGCGGGCCAAGCCCAAUUUAAUUCUAAAGCCCUCCUCCUUAGUGAAAUGUCACGCCUCAAGAAGGAGAUUGAAGCCUCCAUGGAUGACGCGUUCAAGGUCUCACCCCUAGUGGUUCACCCCACAAGCACCAACUAAAGCCCCCAUAGAGGAAGUGGCAAGAUUCCUUGGUUCUUCGUCACCCUCUGUUUCUUCUUUCGGAAAUCAAACAGCCUCUUCUUUUUCUGGGUAGGGUCUCAAUUUGAAGGGUUAAGAGGUGAGCACUUAAGUUGCUCCCUUGGGAGAGGGUAGUAACCCAUUAAGUAUAGUUCCAGUGGAUGACACCCGGGUGGAGUUUGAAGAGGUUGAGGUGAGGCCAAAAAAUGCUGCAAUGUAUGUGUGUGACAGAUAGGAAAGAGGGGGCAAAUCUUGUUUGGAUCCCAGGGAGGAGGUGCUUCUACAAGAUUGGUCCCCAAGCAACUUGGAAGUUCUGCAACUGGUUGGGCAUGCCAACAGUAGGGUUUGAGGCUAGGAUUUUAGCUCUCCUCACUAAAAUGAAGGCUACAAACGAGGUGAGGGGCCAGGAGGGUGGGAAGAGGAGGAAGAAUACUACUUCAAAAUUUAAGAAGGAACUAAAGAAGGUAGAAUGUUUUAUGAAUUAUAAAAGGACAGAAGGUAAACAACCAGGAAGUUAGGACAUUCUUGUAGUUGAUAGAUGAUGCCAAAUUUCGUCUCUUAUAAUGUUAAAGGGGCAAGGAAGAUUAUCUAGAGUUUGUUUAGAUCGUAGAAAGUAGACUAUGCAUCCCUGCAAGAAGAUAAACUGUGGGCAUCUUGCAUUUUUUGGUCUUUAGGGCAUUAGUUUUGUUUCGAAUGGUGGUUUGUUGUUGUUCUUUUCCCUUUUGCUUGCCUAUUGGCAUUAUUUGUAUACUUUGUAUGUGCUUUAUGAACCUCUUCCAAACAAUUUUAAUUUAUUUUCUUAUUUAGCAAUAAAAAAAAAGGAUAAUCUAUCAAAAAAUAUAAAAUUGGGCAUAGGAUGCUCUUUGCAUUUUCUAAAUUCUUUCAUGAGAGCUAUUGGCAAAUUUAGGUCUUCAAAAUACUGGUGACAAAGGAGACUGACUAGGGUCAGAUUCAGUGCCAGUCACGGGUUUGAAUUCUUGGUUUUGCAUGGACACAAGAUUUAGCAGUUUUCUUCUUGAAUAUACUCAUAGUGGCACCACAGUUAAGUUACCAUUUUUCUCAUCCUUAUUCUCAAAUAUAGAAGUGCCAACCACCAUAGGAGUAGAUUUAAUGACUGUUGAAGAAGCAGUAUCUGGAAUGGAUGUAAGGGAUGGAUUUGGCAGAUCAAGCAAGCUCAAGAUGAGGAUCAAUGAAAAAGAGAGGGUUUUCAGCAGUAGAGACAUCCAUAGAAAUGAAACUUUUCUUGGAAUAGGGUGAUAACAUUUGUACCCCUUCUUUGUUGAAGAAUAACCAAUGAAGACACAUUUAAGCAUUUGAAAAUCAACGUUUGAAAAUCAUAUUUACCACAAUUUUAAGCAUGAAUAUGGAUAAAGGAGACACAUGCAAACUUUAGUUGGGAUCUUUCUAUGCCCACACAAAUCAACCAAGAAUUCAGAGAAAACAUUUACUAAGACCUUGUUUCCUAGCACUUUCGAAUGUAAUCAAUUGAUUAGGCAGUAUAGGCACACUUUUCUCUAAUAACAAGGCACAAAUUACCUUAAGAAGGUGACGGUUUUUUGUUUCUACAACUCCAUUUUGUUGUAGAGUAUUCGUACAUGAUGGCUUGUGUUUAUUCCUUCCUUCUUUAGGUAAGAGGAUAGGGUAUGGUUAAAAUAUUCUUUCCCAUUGUCAAAUCCAAUAGUCUUUCUCUAAUCAUCUUGUGAAAAACACAGAAAAUAGAACUAACAUCAUAUUGGUUUUUCAAAAGGUAUAACCAAGUAACACAAGAACAAUCAUCAAUGAAUGAAACAAACUAAUGAGCUUCAGUAAAAUUUGAAAUUUGAAAGACUCCCUAAACAUCAAUAUAAAUUAAUGUAAAGGGGUAGAUGAUCUAUUAUUGCUCAAAGGAAAAGGAGCUCAAUGACAUUCAAGGUUAAGAUAAACUUGACAAUGAAAGUCAUUAACAUCCGAUUAACAAAGUAAACAUAGUCUUCAACAAAGGAAAAGAUGGAUAUCAUAAACAUAUAGGAUGUAGUCAAAUUUUGACUUUAUUGGAUGAAAAUUUUGAAACAUGAAAUAGAGGUAUGCAGCCAUUUGUCACUUCCAACAUCAAGAUUGCAGAACCUCUCUUAUUCCUAAGCAUGAUCAAUCAUCCUCCUCAUAUUAAAGUCCAAGAAACAUAGUGGGAUGGAAAAAAGGAUACUUCACAGUUUAGAUCCUUGAUAACUUCAUGAAUUAAUGGGAGAUUUACUAAGAAUCUAGAAACAUAAUUUACAGAUAUUAGGGACACAGAGACAAGGUAAGGGUAAUAGUCCACUGUCCAACCACACUAGCUAAACUACAAUUAGCUACUUUGAUUUUUUGGUUUCCAGAAUUUAUGCUAUAGGUAGACAUGUCAAAGGGGUUGAGCUGAACAAUGUAGCCCACUGCCCGGUACACCAAAAGACUUGAUCGUGUCAGCCCAACCAUAUUACUAUAGCAGUUCAUGUUAGGCCUAAGGGGAUGUCCCAUCAUGUCGGCAUGCUUGGUCUGCCCAAAUGCUACUUUUUCUUUAUCAGAAAUGAAAUAUAUAUUAUAUUAAUAAUACUAAAGGUACAAGAGAAGGAUGAGAGGUCCUUCCCUCAAAAUACAAAAUCUGAUCAAAUUAAGAAGACACCACUCUAUACAAAACUAUACACAAAGAUAACCCCCAACUAUCUCAAACUUUUGAAUCACAAACCGCAAGCCAAUUGAGUUGUAUAACACUGAGAGGAACUCCUCUAAAAGCAAUAGUACAAAAGGCCCAUAAAGAGGAAUAGAAGUGAAAUAAAUCCCAUAACAUCCCUUCCAAUCUCCCCUUAUCCUAAAAAACCCUAACCUUUCUCUCUUGCCACAUAAUCCAUAAUAAGGUGAGGCAAGCAAUUUGCCAAAGUGUCUUGUCUCUAAUUGAAUUCUCUAAACCUCUAAAAGCAAUAAUCAUCAUGUCUCCAAUACUCCUCAGUGGAACCUAAUCCAACCUUGCUAGAUUGAAGAGAUUGUGCCAGAGCCCAAUAGUUAAUGGGCAAUGUAGAAAAAGGUGGUCAAUCGAUUCUCUAUUUCCUUUGCAUAAAAUGCACCACUAAGGACAAAGGGAUUCAUAGGGUCUUCUCAACUAUAAUAUGCCAUUAGUGUUUACCAUCCUAUGUGCUACUAACCAAGCAAGGGCCUUAACCUUUGAAGGGACUUUUGAUUUCCACAAAAACUUGACCAGAAGGAACAAGACAGGAUUUGAGAAAUUGGACACGGCCAACAAAAAAGAUUUAACAAUAAAUAAGCCUGAGGAGGACAAAGACCAAGCUUUUGAAUCAACCGCGGAAGGAGAUAAAUGCACUAAACUAAGGGAGGACAUGAGUCUCUAAAGGAGUUCAAUUUCUAUAUCAAUGAUAUUCCGGCAAAAGUUAAAAUUCCAAGAGAGUGAAUAGGAAUUGUCAAGGGCAACUGAGAUGGUGAGGUUUUUCACAGAAAUAACUCUAUAAAGACCAAGGAAUUGUGAGCACAAAGGUUGGUCAACCCACCAAAGAUCUUCCUAAAAACGAAUUCUCUCCCCACUCCCUACCACAAGACAGAUAUAUGGGGAGAAAUCCUAAAAAAUUUGUGCAAUAGCCUUCCAAGGAUAUUUGUGUGACCAUCUAACCACCAUAUUAGCGUCCCAUCCAUUAGGAUGUCUCCUAUAGAUACUCGCAAUAACCUUAUGCCAAAGACCACUCCUUUCCCUAGGGAACCUCCAAAGCUACUUCCCUAACAAAGCACAAUUUCUUAAGGAAGUCUUCCCAAAUCCCAAACCUCCUAACUCCUAUGGCCUACAAACAACAUCCCACCUAAUAAGAUGAUCUUUCUUCCCUUUCCUCACCCCUGACCAUAGGAAAUCUCUUUGCAUUUUUUUAAUCUUUGAGGCUAUUGAUACAAGGAUCUUGAAGAGGGAGAGGAAAUAGUUAGGGACGUGAGAAAGAAUCGACUGAAUUAAGGUAAUCCUCCCUCCUCCCUAGUGGCGAAAAGGCUUUUUUCCACCCAUCCAACCUCCUCAAAAUUCUCUCAACCACUGAAUUCCAAAAACCUAUUGUUUUUAGGUUUCCUCCUAAGGUAAGACCCAGAUAAGACAAAGGUCACUCUAACACACUGCAAUCAAGGAUUGAAGCCAAACUAGACAACCCCUGGCUUAUAUUAAUACCAGAUAGGAUGUUUUAUUCUAAAUUGAUUUUCAAUCCUGAUACUUACCCAAAAACCAAUAGGAUUAGCUUUAGGUUUUGCAGAUGUUCCGAAGAGGCUUUAGAGAAGAAAAUGGUGUCAUCUGCAAAUUGUAGUAAAGACGCACUAAUCUUACCCCUACUCACAAUGAAGCCCUCAAUUAACCCACUUUCCUCCGCUCUAAUCAUCAUCUUGCUUAGAACAUUUGCUAUGAAGGUAAAAAGAAAAGAAGAAAUGGGGUCUCUUUGUCUCAAACCUCUAGUGGCCUUAACCCAACCUUUUGCAUUUUCGUUAACAAGGAUUGCAAAACUUGUUGAAGACAAGCAUCCCCUCAUCUAAAAUCUCCAUUUUGGGUUGAAACUCUUCCUUUCUAACACAUGGUCCAAAAAACCCCAAUCCACAUGAUCAUAAGCCUUCACAAAAUCAAUUUUAAAGCCCACCCUUUCCUCCCCCAACCUCCUUUUCUCAUCCACCACUUCAUUGGCCAUCAACACAACAUCCAAAAUUUGUCUCCCUUCAACAAAGGCUCCUUAAGAGUUAAAGAUUGUUCUAUGGAGGACUUUGCAUGAUAGCCCUAAUAAGACCUUAGCAAUUAUCUUAUAUAAGCUUAUAACCAAGCUAAUAAGUUUGAAGUCAGAUAUUUUAAAGGUUUGAUUCUUCUUAGGCACCAAGGCAAUGAAAGUAGCAUUAGUACUUUGAUUUAUUAUCCCAUUAAUGUGGAACUCUAGAAACACCCUCAUAAGGUCCUCUUUGAUCACAUCCCAACACUCUUGACAUACUACAAUAGUGAACCCAUCUGGGUCAGGGGCAUUUUCCUUAUUCAAUUGGAAAACUGCAAGGUGUACCCCUUCUUAAGAAAAAGGUCAAUCUAGCCAAGCCGCUCUCUCCAGAAAUAGGAAACCAAUCUAAACCUUCAACCCUCCAAGAAACACCUACAGAUUUGGAGUAGAACUUCCCAAAGAAAUUUACUAUAUCCUCUUAAAUAAUUACAAUGUUGCUUCGAGUCACACCCUCCUCAGAAACCAAUGACUUAACGAACUUCUUGUUUCUCCUUCCAUUGGUCACUCUAUGAAAGAACUUAGAAUUGUAACCCCCCUUUAACCACUUGACCCUUAAUUUUUGCCUCCAAAGGAACAUCUUGCAUGUUCGACCAAGUAAAAGUCGCAUUUCUAAGAAGGGGAUCAAUCAAGCCACUCUCUUAUAAACUCAUCAAAACACCUCAUGUUCACAAUUAACCUAGAAGCAACCAAUUUCUUGGAGAUCCUCCUUAUUACAUUAAAGUCCCCUCCUACGCACCACUUUGGGAAAGUUAGACCAAAUAGGUCUUGUAGCUCCAUCCAAAAAUCUUUCCUCCAAAUAGGUCUAUUUGGACCAUAAACUGAAGUUAACCAGAAGGAACCAUCUUCAUCAGAAUUCAACUUUACAGUUACCAAAAAAGGCCCUAACACCUUCUUUAUACACCUAAACUUAUUUGAAUCCCAUAGGAUCACAAUGCCCCCUGAAGCCCCACAAGCAAGAAGAUCAACCCACUCUUUGUUUCUUCCUUUCCAGACACUACCCACAAAUCUCCUAUCCUAGGUUUCUCUCUUUAUUUCCUAAAUCAUCACAAUAUCUAGAUCUUGAGAACUUAAAAAGCUUUUGACAAUCCUUCCUUUCUUCUUGGAACCCAACCCUCUUGUAUCCCAACUUACGAUCUUCAUGUAAACAGAAAAGAGCCCAGCAAAAACCAAAACCACAACCAACCUAAGCCUCCCCCUUGAUUCCACAAGCAGUCUUUCUUCCAAUGCCAAACCUUUCUCACUUUCUUUAACAAUUCUACACCUCAAACUCUCCAACACCGAUUAAACCUUAACCAUCUUCCUGGGCGUGAGGCCCUCAACUUGAAAACCAACCAAAGGGAGAGUGGGAGGUUCUGGAUCUAGGGACGAACCUCUACCUAAGACGUAGUGCUCCUCUGGGCUACUAAGUGGUGCCCUAUGGAAAUAAUAGUUUUUAUUAAAGAUUUCUCUAGGGGGCUCCACACCUUUCGAAAUAGGCACACCAACAAAAUGGCUACACUCAACACCAGGAAAUUUCAAAUUAAGGACAUCUUUAGCAGCAAGGCUUCACUCCAUUGGGUUCAAAGAAAGGGGAUGACACCAACCAAAGUGAACAGCAAAAACAUAAGAGAAGGGAAGAGAGUUUAGAUCAAAAGCCCCUGCCAAAGGUUGGCCCUUCACUAAGGUUUUUGAGCUAGGAAGACACACCUGAUAUGGCAAACCGCAAUGCGAGAGCCUUUCGCCUCCCUCUGUCUCCAUGGUGAAUGCUUGGGAAAUUUCUGAAAUAGGAAAUCGAAUGCCUUGAUUGAAGACCAAAUUGCCUCAACCCUUUACUAAACUUGCUUCAGCUGAAACACCCACAUCAAAUUUGCCCUUCAACAUAAAAGACAACACCUUAAUGGACGGAGACCAACUUUGUGCUUUACACCCCACGACAACUGAUGAAGCUUUUCUCUUAGACAACUCUUGUGAACGUGCAAUCGAAAGAACAUCCUUUGAAGAAGACUCUGAAAGCUGAAAAUUUAGGGAUGAAGGCACUAAUGGACCACCCUCGAAAGACCUAGCUUUACCCCCUUCUACCUUGAGGGCUUUUUAAACAACUGGAAUAGCAAGAAGCCCAAAACCUGCUUCUUCACGUGGGCUCACUCCAAACUUGGCCAUAACUAAAGACUAGGCCUUCAUAUUAAUAACAAUAAGCUUAGUGGGCCUAUGUGGGCUUCUCGUCUUUAGGCCCUUCCAAUUCCCUCUCCUUUAGAAGACCUAGCUUUACCCCCUUCUAUCUUGUGGGCUUUUUUAACAACUAGAAUAGUAGGAAGCCCAAAACCAACUUCUUCACGUGGGCUCGCUCCAAACUGGGCCAUAAUUGAAGACUAGGCCAUCAAAUUAAUGGCAACAGGAUUAUUGGGCCUAGGUGGGCUUCCUGUCUUUAGGCCCCUUUGAUUCCCCCUCAAGCCUUUCUUCCUUUUUGAUUCUCCAGCCAAAAUCGAAUUUGAAAAUGGAGAAAGACAGCAAAAAAGUGGCAUACAGUUGUAUCCCUCAUUCUCUCUUAUGACACCACGUGUCCCCACUACAUGUUUAAGUCUUGGUGAAAGCCACCUCUCGUUGAGUCGAACUCGCCUUUACUACAAGUUAACUCAGUCCUCAAGUGGCGGACUUCUUCAUCUUCUUUGAUGAUUGUAACUACAACCGUGAAAGUCCAGGCUCCAUCUUCCACCUCUAGCAACAUAGGCAACAAGACAUUUGGGUGCAACUCAAGCUUCAAAGAGUCCCACGCCACCUUCAUUACCUUCCCUCAAUUCAUCAUAAUGUAGCAUAAUUGAUUCUCAUUCCAUAGAGGAAAAGGAAGACCCCUUAAUUCUAUCCAGCCCCUUCUGAAUUUUCAAAGUACUACAGUAUUUUCUCUUGGCAACCACCUCCUCAGAAAAGCAGAACCUCCUUUCACUAUCAUCCUCCCUUGCUCCUAGAGCCAUUCGGCUCUCUCAAUGGAAUCCAUAAAGAAACACCCCUUGUAAGCCAAAACAAGGGUUCCAAAACCAUUCCCUUCAAACCCAUCAUCCGCGCAAUAGCCUUUCCAACAUAAACCCAAGAUUGAACUCUUUCUUGACUUUCACAUAAUACUGCUCCAGCCUCCUUUCCUUGGUCCCUCCUCUGCAACAACAUCCGCAUAGGACCGACAUAGAGCUAUCUAACGGGUUAAGCUACCCAUUUUGGCUCAUGACUUGGCAUGCCUAAAGGUCGGGUCACGCCAUCACGGCCCAAUUACUGUAGCGGAAAGGGCCGGCAUAGCCCAAAGGAGCGAGUUGUGUUGGGCCCGACGUGCCAUCAUACCAACCCACUUAGCCCUUUCAAAUAUUACUUUUUACUUUUUGUUUUUUAUUACAUGUCAAAUGUCUAUAAUAGCCCUCUCAACUAUAUAAUGACUAGUUUGACGGGUAAAAAAGUAAAUCAAUAGUUAUUUUUACUUUUUUUUCAUGUCAAAUGUCUAUAUUACCCCUCCCAACAACUAUAUAAUGGUUAAUUUAAAGGAUAAAUAGGAGACAAGAGGACAACUCUUGCAGCAGAGGUGCAAGAAGUCUUGACAUGUUUGAAGGAUUGGGAAAAUGAACGCAUGGGACUUCAAACUUUAAAAGAUGAACUUAAAGAAGACCUCGAGAAAUUGGAUCUCAAUACACACAAUGAUGUUCAAGAAAUUGAUGACAAUUGAAGAUGAAGAAUGAAAAUUGAAUAAGAAGACAAAAGUGAAUAUGAUAAUUGAAGAAUUAUAUGUUGUUCGUUUCUUUUAAAUCUAUUAAAUGUAGCUAAUUUUUAAAGGUUGAGUAAUGCAUAUGAUUGAUAGUUGGGUGGGUGUCAACCUAGUUGGGAUGUACUCAAGCUAUAGUGAUGCAAUUCUCAUCUUUUUUUUCUCCCUAUUUUUCCAUGUAAUUUGUUGAAAUUUUGAAUAAAAGAAUUAUUUUUUUAUAUUUCAUUUUCUUUUACAUUCCAUUAUUUUAAAUGUGUUGUUAUCUUGAUAAAUUCAAAAAAAAAUCAAAUAUAACUUUUUUACCAUUUUUAAAAACAAAAAAUUAGCAUAUCUAUAAAUUUUACAAUUACAAACUCGAUAAAUAUAUAUAUAAAAAAUAAAAAGUAUAAUUAUUAGAGGUGUUUAAAGUAACAAAAAUAAAUUUCAUCUAAUAAUGAAAAAAAUUUAAGACAAAAUGACUUAAAAAAUUAAAUUAAAAAUUUUAACAAAGUGAGUGGCCCAUAGGCCACGACCCACCAACACGGCAAAAUUGGUCCGCAGUCUUAUGGGUCGUGCCAAGACACCUAUUUGGUUUGCAUGGAUCGGCCCAGCCCAGCACGAUUUUUAAUUGGGUCAUGCCGGCCCUACACAAACCAUUGGACAGCUCUGGACCGACGUCCUCUGUAAAUGCCUGGCACGGCCCAUUGGACAGCUCUAGACCGAGAUCCUCUAUAAAUGCCCUUACCCAUCUGUAAAUCUCCAUUCGCCUCCUUCGAGACUCUUCCAAAAUGAGGGGUAUAUUCUUGCACUGAGGAAAUCACCUUCCUUACGACUUCCCAUCGUCUGCUUUUAACAACCUUAGGAACAACCAGAUUUGAGGGUUUCCUAUUUAUGACAAAUUUUGUAGUUUUCAUGAAACUCCCUCUACUGUUGAAGCAAAUCUCCAGCAAAUAAGUCCUUGUCUUGCCUUUAAACUUUCAAAUAAAACCCAAGGAAACCUCCAUCUCCACAGCCUUCUUCAACUGCACUGACAACCACACCAUCUCCUUUCCAAAACCCACUAAAAAGACAUAACCUUGGCUCCUCUCUAUUACCAAAAUCCAAGUUCCCCCAUGGGAACCUUCAAACUUAACCUCAAAGUCCUUCUCUGCUUCAAAACUCUUUGCCUAUCUCUUCCCAAAUGCUACUUUUUGCAUGCCAAAUGUCAUAAACGUUCCUCCCAACAACCAUGUAAUGACUAGUUUCUGGGGGUAAACAAUUAAAACACUCAUUAUUAUUAUUUUAUGUCAAAUGUCUAAAUUACCCCUCAUAGCAAUUAUAUAGUAGUUAGUUUGAGGGGUAAAGAAGUAAGUCACUCACUAUUAUUAUUGUUUUCAUGCCAAAUGUUUUAAAUUAACCCUCUUAACAACUAUAUAAUAGUUAAUUAAAGGAAUAAAUAAUAAAAUUAUAUAGGUACAAAUAUUAUUCGAAAAACUACAUAGGCUCAGAUAUAAUUGGAGAAACAAGGACUAAACUCACACCAGAGAUGGUUAACUAUUUGGCUUGUGGGAAGGAUUGGGAAGAUGGAUGCAUGAGGCUCCAAGCUUAGGAAGAUGAAAAAAUUUGAACAUCAAAUGAGACAAAGACAUCCAAGAGAUCAAUGAAGAUGAAGAACAAAGAUUGAAUAUCAAGACAAAAGUGAGGAUGAAAAUUGAAGAAUUUUAUGUUGUUCAUUUCUUCCAAAUCUAUCAAAUGUGACUCAUUUUAAAGUUUGAGUCAUGCAUAUGCUUGAUGGUUAGGUGGGUGUCAAACUAGUUGGGAUGUGCUAAAAUUCUCACCUUUUUUUCCCUUUUUUUCAUGUAUACUUUACAAUUUGUUGAUAUACUGAAUAAAAGGAUUAUAUUUUUUACAAUCCCUUUUCUUUUAUAUUCCAACAUUUUAAAUUUUUUUUUUUUUUUUUUAUCAGAAACGAAGAAGAUUAUAUUAAUAAAAGAACAAAUACAGGAGAGAAAAAAGAGACAAAAGAAAGAGAAAAAAACCAAAGGAAGGAUGAAAGGUCCUUCCUACACAAAAACCAAGGAAAAACACCCAACAAUAGAACUCUAAAAACAAAAGAAACUCCAGCAAUCUUCAAACUCUUGAAACGCAAACCCCAAUCCAAUUGAGUUGUAGAAUGCUUAGAGGAACUCCUCUAAAAGCUUCAGUACAAGAAGCCCAUAGAGAAGAAUAAAACCGGAUCAAAUCCCAAACCAUCUCUUCCGUUCUCCCUUUAUCCUCAAAGAUUCUAUUAUUCCUUUCUUGCCACACCAUCGAAAUCAAAGUAAAGCAAGCAAUUUGCCAAAGUGUCUUGCCUCUUAAUGAGUUCCCCAAGCCUUUAAAAGAAAUAACCAACAUGUCCUCAAUGCUCCUUGGAGGGACCCAAAUCACACCUACUAGAUUGAACAACCUGUGCCAAAGUCCAAUGGUAACGGGACAAUGAAGAAAAAAGUGGUCAAUCGACUCUCCAUUUCCUUUGCAAAGAAUGCACCAUUGAGGACAGAGGGCUUUGUAGGGUCUUCUCAAUUGCAACUUGUCAUUAGUGUUUACCUUCCCAUGUGCUACUAACCAAGCGAGGGCCUUAACCUUUGAAGGGACUUUUGAGCUCCAUAAAAACUUGGCCGGAAGGAACAUUAAAGGAUUUGAAUCUUUUGACAAGGCAUAGAAAAAAGAUUUCACUGAAAACAAGUCUGACGAAGACAAAGACCACGCUCUUGAGUCUGAAGAAGAAGGGGAAAGAAGCACAGAAUGAAGGGAGGACAUUAAUCUCUGAAGGAGAUCAAUUUCUGAAUCCGUUAGAUUGCGGCGAAAGUUAAAAUUCCAAGACAAUGUUAAGGAAUUGCCAAGGACAUUUGAGACAGUAAGGUUUUUCACAGAAAUAACUCUGUAGAGAUCAGCAAAUUGAGAACACAAAGUUUGGUUUCCCCACCAAAGAUCUUCCCAAAACCGAAUUCUCUCCCCAUUGCCCACCACUAGGCAGACAAAAAGGGAGAACUCUUGGAAAACUUGAGCAAUAGCCUUCCAAGGACACCUGUGAGACCAUCUAACCACCAUGUUGGCGUCCCAUCCAUUAGGAUGUGUCCCAUAUAUACUCGCAAUAACCUUAUGCCAAAGACCGCUCCUUUCUCUAGGGAAUCUCCAAAGCCAUUUCCCUAAGAGGGCACUAUUUCUCAUAGAAGUCUUCCCAAAGCCCAAACCUCCCAUCUCCCUUGGUCUACUAACAACCUCCCAUCUGAUUAGGUGAUCUCUCUUCCCUUCCCCGGCCCCAAACCAAAGAAAAUCCCUUUGCAUCUUCUCAAUCUUUGAAGCUAUAGAUACAGGGAUUUUGAAGAGGGAGAGGAAGUAGCUAGGGAUGUGAGACAGACAAGACUGAAUUAAAGUGAUCCUCCCUCCCAAAGACAACUAGGCCUUUUUCCACCCAUCCAGCCUCCUCGAAAUUCUCUCAACCACUGGAUCCCAAAAUCCUAUUGUCUUUGGAUUUCCUCCCAAAGGAAGGCCUAAAUAAGACAAAGGCCACUCUGACACUCUGCACUCCAAAACCAAAGCCAAACUAGACAACAUUUCCUGCCUAGUGUUAAUACCUGAAAUGGUGUUUUUUUCUAAGUUGAUUUUUAAACCAGAUACUUGCCAAAAACAAAAAGGAUAAUCUUAAGGUUUUGAAGAAGAUCCAAAGAGGCUUUAGAGAAAAAUAUGGUAUCAUCAGCAAACUGUAACAAGGACACUCUAGUCCUAUCCCUCCCCACAAGGAAACCCUCAGUUAUCCCAGUUUCCUCAGCUCUAAUCAUCAACCUACUUAGAACAUCUGCUACUAGAGUAAAAAGGAAAGGAGAAAGAGGAUCUCCCUAUCUCAAACCUCUAGAGGCCUUAACCCAACCCUUUGCAUUCCCAUUAACUAGGAUAGCAAAACUAGAAGAAGAUAAACAGCCCCUCAUCCAAGAUCUCCAUUUCUGGCUGAACCCCUUCCUUUGAAGCACAUGAUCUAAAAAGCCCCAAUCCACAUGAUCAUAGGCCUUCUCAAAAUCAAUUUUGAAAACUACCCCUUCCUCUCCUGACCUUCUUUUCUCAUCCACCACUUCAUUGGCUAUCAAUACAGCAUCCAAUAUUUGUCUCCCUUCCACAAAGGCUCCUUGAGAGCCAAAGAUUGUUUCAUGUAGAACUUUGCGUAAACGCCCUGAUAAGACCUUAGCAAUUAUCUUAUAUAAACUUGUAACCAAACUAAUAGGUCUAUAAUCUGAGAUUUUAAAAGUUUGGCUUUUCUUAGGCACCAUAGCAAUGAAUGUCGCAUUUGUACUUUGAUUUAUUACCCCUUUAGUGUGGAACUCAAAAAACACCCUCAUAAGAUCCUCUUUUAUCACAUCCCAACACUCUUGAUAAACUGCUAUAGUAAAGCCAUCAGGGUCAGGGGCCUUUUCCUUAUUCAAUUGGAAAACUGCCAUUCGAACCUCCUCUUCCGAAAACGGUCUAUCCAACCAAAUUGCACUCUCUUCAGAAAUAAGGGCCCAAUCAAUCUCUUCAAUCUUCCAAGAAUCACCUUCGGGUUUGGAAUAGAGAUUCCCAAAGAAAUUUACAAUCUCCUCAAAAAUAACAUCAAUGUUAUUUAAAGUCUCCCCCCUCUCAGAAAUCAGAGACUUUAUGAACUUCCUGCUUCUUCUUCCAGUGGCCACUCUGUGAAAAAACUUAGAGUUGCAAUCCCCUUCUUUAAUCCACUUAACCCUAGAUUUUUGUCUCCCUUGUACCUCUUCCUUCAAUAACAAAUCCUCUAACUCCUUCCUUCUUAAGGUCCUUUCCGAAACCAGAUCAAGAUUUAAAUUCCAUUCUUGUUCAAUUCGAUCAAUUCUGCCUAAAUCCAUAAGAAUAUGCUUUUUCCUCUCUCUUAAAUCUCCAAAGACCCUUGUAUUCCACUCUUUCAACUUUGAUUUAAUAAACUUUAGUUUCCUCAUAAACUUGUGACCUUCCCAACCUUCAACCGUACACUCUUGCCACCAAUCUCUAAACUUCUCUUUAAACUUAGGAUGGAGCAACCACAUAUUCUCAAACCUAAAAGGAGUCGGCCCCCAUAUAAAAGGAUUAGUUUCCAAACAAAUUGGGCUAUGGUCAGAGGUCCAUCUAGGAAGAGCCUCUUGAAUAUUUUGAGAGAAAAAAGAAUCCCACUCAGAAGAGAACAAAAACCUAUCUAACCUCUUGCAAAUAGGAUUGACUUGCAUGUUUGACCAUGUAAAAGCCGCAUUCCUAAGAGGGGGAUCCAACAAACCACUUUCCCUUAUAAACUCGUCAAAACACCUCAUGUUGACUGUUAACCUAGAGUCACCCAUCUUCUCAGAUAUCCUCCUGAUCACAUUAAAAUCCCCUCCUACACACCACCUUGGGAAAGUCAGACCAUGUAGGUCUUGAAGCUCCAUCCAAAAGUCCUUCCUCCACACCGCCUUAUUCGGGCCAUACACUGAGGUUAACCAAAAAAACCCUUCCUCAUCAGAGUUCAAUUUUACAGUAACAGAGAAUGAUCCUAACACCUUCUCUGAACAAUUGAACUUAACUGAAUCCCACAGGAUCACAAUCCCCCCCGACGCCCCACAAGCAGGAAGAGCAACCCAAUCCAGACUUUUACCUUUCCAAACACUACUCACUGACCUCCUAUCCCAAAUUUCACGCUUUGUUUCCUGAAGCAUCACCACAUCUGGGUUUUGAGUACUUAAAACCUUCUCACAGUCCUCCUUUUCUUCCUAGAUCCUAAACCUCUUGUAUUCCAACUUAAAAUCUUCAUGAGAACAAAAACAACCCGACGCAACCCGCACCCAGAACUAAUCCUCUCCUCGAGUUCUAGAAUCAUUUUUCUUCUUUCUUCUGGAAUAAACCUUGUCCGCAGAGAGAGCACUCCUGUUCUCUCCUUCCACACCUUUCCCAUUAUCCCUGACAAUUCUAACCCUCAAACUCUCCAGAGCCGACUGAACCUUGACCAUCUUCCGAGGCGUAAGCCCCUCAACCUAAAAACCUUCCAACGGGAGAGUGGAAGGUUCUUGCACUGGGAACGAAGCCUCACCUAAGACACUACGCACCUCAAGGUUGCUGAGAGUUUCCCUAAGGAGAGGUCGGUCUUUAAAUUUUUGGUUAGAGGUUUCUAGGGGAACCACCACACCUUCCGAACAGGACGCACCACCACGAAGGUUGUCAUUCACCAUAGGAGAGAUAAAAACAGACCCACUCUGAAAAGCGUAGCUUGAAUCCAACGGAAACGAAGAAGAAGAGUGACAGCGAAAAGGAUGAACCAAAGAAACAGAGGUUUCGGGAAUAAGAUUUGGCUCAAAAGCCCCAGACAGAGGAAGAACUCGCUCAGAUACAGCUGAGAAAGGAGUAUGCACCUCAUUGAUCAAUUUGCAUUGCAGAAUCCCCUCUUCUCCCUCUGUCUCGCCGGUAGAAACUUUGGAUGUUUCCAAACCAGUGGAGAGAUCGCUCUUUCUGGAGUGAGAUUUGCCCCGAGAAGUCUCGAUUUGUCUCCAGUGAGCCACCUCCUUCAAAGCUUUGCUUCGGGGAAGAAGACGCCUCCUCAAAACUCGGCGGCCCACUUCUUGCUCUGCGCCUUACGGAGACUGGAGAUCCCUUCGGCUUUGACGACACUUGAAGAAGACCUUCCGACAUUUUAUUCUUUGCAGUGAGCCCUGGUCUUUGGAGCUUUGAAGACGAAGAUACAGCUGGGCCGCCAUUAGAGGAUCCUUUAUGGGCUGGACCCGCUAUUGGCCCAAAAUCCUUCGCCCCAAAUUGGGCCCAAUCAGAACGGGCUUCAAAGACGUCUGAUGUUGGCCCGAAAUUGCUUCCCGCCGUUGGGCCCAACACCCACCUUCCCUUUCCUUUCUCCCCUUUAGCCGAUUUUGAAUCUGAAGAACUAAAAUGGAAACGAUGACGAGGCAUCCAGCUAUGGCAGUCAAUGGUCCUGUCAAUAGCUCGUAGCCCCUCAACGAUCUGUGGCUUCUGCAAGACGCAACCCCCGGCUGACCUCAGCUCGUCCUUGCUGCGAUUCGACUGAGGCCUGAUAGAGUCUCCUCCGUCAUCUUCUCCGGUGACUGUAACUGCAACCAUGUAUGUCCACUCUCCAUCUUCUACCUCUAAUAGCGCUGGAAGCACGACAUUUGGAAGCAUCUCCACCCGCAAUGUUACUUUCGACAAAUCAACAAACUUCAAGGAUUUUCUCGCCACCUUCGUUACCCUCCCCCACUGCUGCAAAAUGUGUCUCAACUGCACCUCAUCCCACAGGUGGAAAGGGAGACCUCUUAGUUCCAGCCACCCCCGUCUAAAUUUUCCAUUAACGACUGAGUUUUCUUUUGGCGACCAUCUCCUCAGAGCAAAAACCUCUCCUCUCACUAUGAAACUACCUCGUUCUUGAAUCCACUGAGCUUUCCUUGCAGUUUCCACAAAAAAACACCCUUUGUAAGCAAAAAUGGGUGUUACAGACACCAUUCCUUUCAUCCCCACCCUUCUCGCUAUAGCUUCUCCAACCUCACACCAGUCUCGUAUUUUUCCUUUGCCUUCACAAACCACAGCUCUUGCCCAUUUUCCAACUGGCAUCUCUGCACCAUUCCUAGUUCCUCUCUCUGCAACCACAUCAGCAUAGGUCCUCUCACCUCUGUACAUUCCUUUUCUCUCUUGAGGCUUUUUUUGCUUCUCCUUCGAAUCUCUUUCAGCUUGAACAGAGAUCUCUUGGACUGAAACAAUCACCUUCCUAAGGUUUUCCCACCCACAGCCAUUAACACCUCUUGGAACAACUAAGACCAAAGGUUUUCUCUUUGCAACGUAUUCUGUGAUUUUCAUAUAACUCCCUCUGCUGUUAAAACAUAUCUCCAUCAGAUGAGUCCUAGUCUUGCCCCUCAUUUUUCGAAUGAAACCCCUGGAAUCCUCCAACUCCACAGCUUUCUCUAACUGCUCCACUAGCCAACCCGUCUCCUCUUCUCCAAAACCUAAAGAAACCACAAAACCUCGACUUCUCUCUGUUAUUGAAAUCCACGUUCCUCCAUUGUAAUCUUCAGACUUCACCUGGAAAACCUUUCUCUCCACUACAACCGACUGAAUUCGAAUCAUCUUCAAUCCUCUAUGGUUAUUCUUUCACAAUCAGAAUUUCGGUUCUGAAUCUCCUUUCCAGAAAAAUCCAACAUUUUAAAUUUAUUAUUAUCAUAGAAUCAACAUAUAAUUCUAAUAUAUUUAAAAAAAACAAAAAACAAAACAUUAAAAGUAUUACAAUUUUUAAUAUAACAAACUUGAUAUAUAUAGAGAGAGAAAAAAAAAAUUUUAAAAAGCAUUACUUUAUAAGAUCUUCGAAGUAACAAAAAAGCAAUUCCACAUAAUAAUAAAAUAAAUUCAAAGACAAUUAAAUGAUUAUAAAUAAUUAAUUAUAAACUAAAAAAUAACAAAAUAAGGUGAGAAAUGGACCAUCCCAUUGGCAUAGCACCAGCACAACCAAUUGGUCGGCACUACACAGCACCAUUAUCCUAUGGACUAAUGGGUCAUGCCGGGCUGCCCAUUUAGCUUGCAUGGAUGAGCAGAGCAAGGCACAGCACAACAUGACACAUUUUCAACUAGGUCAUAUUGGCCUAGCACGAUGGCCCGCCAAACAUUGGGCCAUGUCAACCAAAACUGACCAUUUGACACCUCUAGUUGUAGGAUGAAAAAGGUUUAUAACCCAAUUUCCAUGUCAACAAUCUUUUCAAGCACUAAAAGAACUUGUCAUUGAGUACUUACCUGCUUUGGUCAAGAAGCAUGAUGCACUUCUCUAGAUAGGUGAGGAAACUAGAAGACUUUUUUUUUAUAGUUAAAAGAUAAUGUAUUAAAAACAAGAAGUAUACAUCACGUAUAUACAAAGCAACCAAAGAGAAAGAAGGUGCAAAUACACAAAAACUAGCAAUUGCACCUUAAGAAGAACCUAACCAAUCAACAAAAUCUAACAUCAACAAAGCACCAUCCCUAAUGUACAAUCUAACCCAAUCCCAAAAUAGAUACAAAAAGGAGUUUUUAAAUGUUUGAUCUAAACUUUCACAAUUCUCAAAGGCUCUCCUAUUUCUCUCCCUCCAAAUAGUCCAAAAAAGGAAUGAAGGAGCAACUUUCUAAACCUUUUUCAUUUUUCCACCAACAAAAGAGUCUCCCCAACUCAAAAGCAACCCUCUCAUCGAAGAAUGCAUCACCCACUGUACAUCAAAAAGAGCAAAAAUCAACUAUCACAAAAUACGAGCUUUCAGACAAUGCAGUAGAAUAUGGUCACACAUUUCUUCUUUGCACAUGUAGCAUCUAUUAAGCAUCUUCCAACCCCACUUUCUGAGCUAAUCCUAAGUCAAAAUAUUGGCCCAAGUUGCCUCUCAAGCAAAGAAGCUAACUCUAAUAGGAGUCCAAGAGUUCCAAACUAUACCAUGAGAUCUGCACCCCUAUUAGCCAAGGAGGAAUAGAAGGACUUAACUGAAAAUACCGACUUAACUGAAAAUACGAAUUAACUGAAAAUGCACCAUUCUUUGUAUCCCUCCACACUAAUAAGUCCUCAAACUCCAAAGAGAGGAGUGAUCAUGCAACCUCUCAAAGAAGUUAUCUACUUUCUCCAACUCUCAAUCAUUCAACUGUCUAAAAAACCAAGGAUUCCAACUACCACCGUCCCAAACAUCAACCACCCAAGCAUCUUUAGAGGAAGCUAUAGCAAAAAGAUCCAGGAAAGCAUCUCUCAAAGAUGCAUCUCCACACCAUCUAUCUUUCCAAAACUUCACCUUAUUUCCAAAACCAAUCCUGAAGAGAAUUUUAACUUUAAAAGCCUCUCAACCAUUUCUAAUUGCCUUCCAAACCCCCACUUCAUACCUCUCUGUCACCCCUUUCGUGCACCAACCUCCAUCUUCUUGCCCAUACUUGCCAACAAUUACCCGUUUCCAAAGGGGCUCUCUUUCAGUCACAAAUCUCCAAGACCACUUUCCUAAAAGGGCCUUAUUAAAGGUCGAAAGGUUUUUGAAACCCAAACCCCCUUUCACUUUAUCCAGACACACAACAGACCAGCUCAACAAAUGGGGCUUAUUAACCAAAGCUCCCCCUCCCCAAAGAAAAUCCCUUUGAAUCUUUUCCAAUCUAGUCAUUACCCUCUUAGGGAUGACAAGGAAGGACAUAUAGUAGAUCAGUAAGCUAGAUAAGGUGUUCUUAAUUAGAGUCUGCCUUUUGCCUUUUGAGAGAUACUAUCACUUCCACAAAGCAAACCUUUUUUGAAACCUCUCCUCUACCCCUUCCCAAACCCUUGAAGACUUGUAAGGCGCACCCAGAGGAAGACCUAGGUAGGUGGUUAGGAGAGCACCCACCAUGCAAGCUAGUACUAGCAAGCUCCUCCAAAUUUGGAACAUCCCCAACUGGAAUCAACUCACUUUUCCCUAGAUCAAUCUUUAGCACUAAACACGUCUCAAACCACAUGAAGACCCAACUCAAAUGCUCAAGAUUUUCCUUACUAGCAUCACAAAGAAUGAGAGUAUCAUCUGCAAAAAAAACAAAUGGGACACCUUUACUCCCACAUAAUGCCUUCCUCUAACUUGAAAACCGUUGAUAAAACCAUCUUCCAUUGCCCUAGAGAGCAAUCGGGAGAAAGACUCCAUCACCAAAACGAAUAAAUACGGGGACAAAGGAUCUCCUUGUCUAAAACCACUAGAACUUCUAAAAAAAACCUGGGGGGGAACCAUUUACGAAGACAGAGAAGCAGGCUAUAGAAAUACACCAUCUGAUCCAUCCUAUCCACUUGGAUCUAAACCCCAUAUUCUCCAUAAAUGCAAUGAUAAAAUUCCAAUUAACACAAUCAUGGGUCAUAACACCAUCAUAGGCCGAAAGUCUAAAGAACCCACCACCUUUUUUAUCCUAUUUGCUAGGAACCUUAGCCAAAAGUUUAUAUAACCCUCUAACCAAGACGAUAGAUCUAAAGUCCUUUAGGUCUUCUACCACCCCCCCCACAAAAAAAAAAAAAAUCAUUUUUAGGAACUAAAGCUAAAAAUGUUGCAUUUAAACUUCUCUCAAAAGACCCCAAGCCAAAGAAUUCACCAAAAAAACCCAUGACCUCAUGUUUCACAAAAUCCCAACUAUACUGCCAAAAAGCCAAGGAAAAACCAUCCGAGCCCAAGGCCUUAUCUCCCCUCAAGCUGGAUAAAGUUGCAAGAACCUCCUCUUCAGAGAUGGGGAUCUCUAAGGCUUUUGAAUCAAUUAGCUGCAAGGAAUUGAAGACCAACUCGUCUAUACUUGGCCUCGACUCCCCCGCUUCUGCUAGAAUCCUUUGAAAAGCAUUUGUUACCCCUUCUUUGAUGUUAUCCUCUCCAACUAGCAUCUCACCUUUUACCCUUAGCUUGGCCAUGAAGUUCCUCCUUCUUCAAGCAUUUGCCAUUUUAUGAAAAAAUCUUGUAUUUUUGUCCCCUUCUUUUAGCCACAGCUCUCUUAACUUUUGCUUCCAAGAGAUUUCCUCCAUCUUUGCCCAUUUCUUAAACUCUUCCACCACACCUCUUCCAACCUCAUUUUCCUCCACUAUAAGACCACAUUCCCUUUCCUUUGCAUCCCACAGCCUUAACUGUGCCAAGGCCUCAAGUUUCUUGGUGAAUAGAUUCCCAAGAACCUCUUGAUUCCAGAUUUCAAGGUCCUAUAUCAAGGCUUUUAACUUCCUCGCCAGAAUGUGACUAAAGGACCCUUAAACACUGUACCCCCUCCCACCAAUUCCUGACAAGAUCUUUGAAAACUUCCACCUUUAACCCCAUAUUUUCAAAUUUGAAAGGUGUCUUACUUUUCCUUAUCCCUCCACUGUCAAGCAGGAUCGAUGCAUGGUCCGAGACUAGAUUUGGAAGGGUGCUUUGAAAUAACCCACUGAAAUUGUUCUCCCAAUUCAUCAAAAACGAGAAAGCGAUCUAGCCUAGAGGCUAACCUAUUAUUUAAUCCACCACACUAGGUAAACAAACUACCAGAUAAAGAGAGAUCUUUAAGACACAUUUCCUCAAUAAAUUGUGAAAGCGUCUCAUAGAAGCAAAUAAGCUUUAACAAUUUCUCCUUUCCAUCGGGAAUCUUAAUACAUUAAAGUCCCCUCCCACACACCAAGGAUCAUUCCAGAGACCUCUAAUAGUGCUCAACUCGUUCCAAAAAUCUUCCCUCUCCUCAACCAAAAUAGGGUUGUACACCCUCGUGAACAUCCACACAAAAUUGUCCUCACAAUUUAAGCGACAAGAAACUGCAAAGGCCCCUAACUCCAUUUUAAUAAGCUCUAACACCCGAUUGUCCCAAAAAACCAAAAUACCCCCUACUUGUCCCCCUAGCGUCCACUGCUCCCCAAUUCAGACACCUCCCCACACCUAGACUCCUCAUCAGGCAUGUUGUCCUUUGUUGCACCUUUGCUUCUUGAAGACGGACAAGGUCAACCAAGUGGAACCGAAUCAUAGUUUUUAUGAUCUUGCACUUAUCCCCCUCGUUUAUCCCUCGAACAUUCCAAGAAAAGAUUUUGAGCUUCAUCGUCAUGGCUAGGUUUCUUCUCCAAAAGUGUCAUAUUUGCUUAUUCGCCUCCUUGUCUGAUAUGUUAUUGGUUCCAAUGUGCAACAUUUCUAUUGAGAGAUUAUGGUUUCCCAUGUACCUUCCAACACAUCUCCUUUGUAAGCCAUGGUUUCUUGAGAUAAGUACACUAAGGGUUAUCCUUGUUACUUGGUUGCUCAGAUACCCCUCCUUUGCUAGAAUUUGUGCUAAGGAUUGGACCUCUUUAAGAGCUUGAAACAACAUAUAUGGUCUUCACUUGUUAGAUUGUUCACAAUUACACUCCUCGCUUCUUCAACCCUUAUGAUUGAGAAUACCUUAUUCAAGAAUAUUAGUGAUUCCUUCCCAAAUACUUGAACACGUACUUAUCAUAUUUCGCGUUAAAUUUAACCAAGAAUUCAAUUAUUCACACUUUUUCUAUAAACUUAAGAAACAUAGCAGCAUACUCACUAUUCUUCAUUUCAAGAUUUUGAUAAUAGUCUAGUUCAAACCACAAUCCUUUCAUAACAUUAUAGUACUCAAUUACAAAUAAAAUUCUUUGCUUUGUAAAGUGAAUCUUGGUCUUUAUCUUACCAAUCUAAAGAAAAUCUUGUACUUGGAACAAAGUCUAUUUCACUGCCUCCUAAAUUUCCUUUGUUGUGGUUAAGAACAUACACGUUUCACUGAUUUCAAGUUGCAUCAUCUUCCAUACCCAAGCCAUAAUCAUUGAGUCCCCAUUCCAAACAACAAACUUGGGAUCAUCUUCACUCAGCUUUGGUCCAAUCAAGCAAUUAAGCUUGCCUUUUCUCUUGUAGAAAUCUGCACACUAGAUUUUUUUAUAUUCACAAGUCGGUGGUUAGUUCUGAAAUGUAAACGUAGUGGGUAGCAAAAUAGAGAUAGAACUCGAGAGAAUAGUGGUGCAACAGAUAAUGUGAAAAAACUGUUGAAUUAUAACAAUGGUAUUAACAAUAAAGAAGGCCAAUGAAAGAGGAAGAAACAGUGAUGGCAAUAAUGGCCACUGGAGGCAAAGAAUAGUGAUAAUGAAGGCCACUAGAAAUCAACAGUAAUGAAGACCACGGGAAGAAAAAUUAGAAGAGAACUUAGAGACAUUGAACAGACUUGGUUACCAUGUGGAAAAGAACAAUCUUUAUUAUUUUAUUUUGAACAAAAUGAUACAAUAUUUAUAGUGUACAAUCCUACAUAAGUAUGAAACUAAAUUACUAAGUUAGGAGAUUCACUCAUUCCUAGAAAUCCUCUAUCCUACAAAUCAGGAAAAUAAAACAAGAAUGUUUAUAAUGAUACAAUCUCGAAAAUCAAGGAAGGCAUACAACUAUACUAUCUAAUUUUCAAGCCAAUGAGUCAACAAGUCCUUAGCAUUUUGUAAGUGACCAUAUAUAAAAUUUAGCUUUGGCUUUCCUUUCAAGUUUUUUUCUACAAUAUAUUUAUCGAAUUACUCAGUUCUCUAUGUUGUGUGCUUGUAUUUGAAAACUAAUCCAUAUAUAUUAUUUGUUCAAAUAUUAGGUUAUAGAUGCAAAACAAUUUUCACAUUUUGGUACAUUCAGGCUGUAAAAUGAAGACAUGAUGCUCCUUCUGUCACAUCAACCGACUUCUCCCUGAUUAAAUCUAAUUAAAAGAAAAUCUAAUUGUUGGUCCUUCUUCUAUUCACUUCCAUUUCAAAGAAACGGUGCACAGUAAACGGAUAGCAUUUUUUAACAGAAACUAUAAUUUUAUUAAGUGAAAGAAGAAUAUACUAUGAACAGUCCUCUAGAAAGAGUGCUCAUGAACACAAUUAAACUAAACAACAUGAGAGCUUCCCACAAGGACAAUAAAGAGCCCUGCCUUGGCCCCCCAAAGAAAAGGUGUCCAAAGCUCAAGGAGGCAUGGCAUCCUCAAUAAAGUCAACAAGAUAGGGAGCUCCUAUCGUAGCAAACCUCCCAACUUCCUAAUUAACCAAUUUGGAUUUCCAGGAACAAAGAGUUCAAAACUCUAAUGAUACCAUGACCUUCCACACCUAACAUUAUCGUACUACCAUAAUCCUCUCUGUGCAUUAGCCACCCAAUAAGAAGCUUUCAUUGACUCUCCCUCUACCAAAAGAUUGAAGAUUCCCAAUCAUCUUGCAAUUUUUAAGCUCUCUACUGGUGCUAGUAUCUUUACUUAAAUGGGUAGCCUCAAAACUGGAAUGCUCGGUCAACUAUGAUAGAUCUCCUCUGACAGUUGGGGAAAGGAGGAGCAGUAAGGAUCCAGCUCUCUCAGUGUGAGAUUGCUUUAACUUUGCUCUUAGAUUGGUUAAGGGCAUUUUUUGUAGAUUUGCUCAGGGGGCAGAUCGUGUUCUGUCUAGCACUGGGGUGCUUCUUGGUUUUGGGAACUGUGGCAUCAAGAGGGCCUGAUAAGGGGGCAGUCCCUUUUUCUGGGGUGUCUAGAGGGUUGGAUUUUGUUAGAGUGGUUGGUAUUUUCUGUUCUCUCUUCCUUCUUACUUGUCUUUUGGUGUAAUUUGUAUACUUCGUUUGUACUUUGUUGUGCCAUUUUCCAAACACUUUUUAUAUUUUCUCUUAAUUUACCUAUCAAAAAAAAAAAAAACUAGCCCGAACCCAACUGCCUUGAGAAGCUUAGAUAAUAUCAUCCUCAUAACCCAAAUAAGGCCCAAAAUUCAAUCUCACCCUAGUUACUCAAGGAGAAAGAAUUGAUAUUGAGCUUAAAGGUCUCUUCAGGGGCGGAUACACUGCACCCAGAACUGAUCUCCAAUUUGCUUAAACUAAUGUUAAUGGGAACUCUAGAAAACUCUUUAAUGAUCAACACCCAAAUAGUUGCAAGGAAACACAUUCUCACUUAUCAAAAAAAAAAGAUCAACCACCAAUCUCCUUUUUGUCCUCCAAAAUUUUGGCAUUCUAUUCCAACCAAAAACCCAUAAGCUAGCCAAGAUAAUGUCCAUUCCGCUAGCCCCACCCACUUAGACCCAUUCAUUAUGGACUGCUAUCAAACCCUUAAAAAGGGUAACCACCAAGUCAAAUGUGUCACUGGGAGCUACGCAUGCUAGCUUCACCAAAACAAAUCAUAUCAAAGAUACAAGAAGGAUGGCCUGUCCUUCAAGGAGAGGUAUAGAGAUAGUACAUUGCAAGAAGGGCAUCACUCUUACAAUAAUAACAAUCCCAAUUCUGAUAAAAAAUAAAAAAUAAAACAAUCCCAAUUGGUUUCACAUUUGGCUUCAAACCCUGCUAAUUUCCUAAAAUUUUCUGUCUGAUGCAAUGUCCAUGCUAGCAACAAACAACAGCUAUAAUUGUCUGAGUCAAUAAGCUUUAGCCUCAAUUAUCUUUGUGUGAGAAGGCCUGACAUAAUCCAUAGAAACUCACCACCCAAGACCAUUGUCAAAGCUGAGUUUCCAAAAAGAUGCAGACUAUCAUAUUUGCAAUUAACAUUUUUUUUUUUUUAUCAGAAACAAACAAUUGAAUUAAAAUAGAAAAACAUGAGAAGUCCACCCCAAUAUGAAGCCCUCCCCAGACUAUCAUAUUUGCAAUUAACAUUUUAGCAAAAGAAUCACCCCAUAAUUGAAACUUACAAUUCUUUUUUGCAGCACUACAUGUUAUGGUGUGCACAGAUAUAUGUCAACUACCUACCUAAUGCUUUCCUAAUGUUCUUUUCCAGGAAACUAAAUUCAUUAGAAUGACAAAUAAAAGAAAUAACGGCAAUCAGGAUGUCACCAAACAAAGAUAAACGCAAAAAGUAAAAAAAAUAAAAUCAAAAAAUCAAAAAGCAAGAAAAAGAAAAGCAAAUAAAGGAACAAAACAUAUGCUAUAUUUGCCCCAAUAGAUGCCCUACAUCAAACAAACCAAAAUAAGGAGUGUGGAUGGAUAGUAGAACAAAUUUUACCCUCAAAAACAAGAACAUAAAUAAAAAUAAAACACAAACCUGGAACCCAAACACAUACUCCAGAAGAUCAAACAUGUCCACAUCCCUCUGACCAGAAAUCUCAAAAUUAGCAGGAAGUUGAGGGAAGUGUUCUGUGUAUCUAAUCGCAGAUAUUGCACCUUUAACCUGGACACAUUAGCCAGACACCACCAGAAACAUGAAUAUUUUUAUCCCAAUACCCAAUAGAGUUUGCAGUAAAAAUGCCAUGCAGACCGGAACUCCCAUGAUGAGACAGCACAGAAUAUUGCAUGUGUAUCCUCUAUUUUUUCCUCCAAUGAUAAACAGCACAGAACUUGAAGCUAUAAACUCUUUAACUAAUCCAUAUUAAAGACACGGGAAACUAGAUAGAGGUAGGACUCAGCUGGAAAUUACUGCAAAACACCAACGAAAGAAAUAAGCAACAAGACUAGUAGUGCGUUUGACAGUGAUUUUAAAAAAUGUUUUUAAUCUUUUUAACACUUGAAUGAUAAAAAUUUUCAAGUCUUAAAAAUGUUGUAAGCGUUUUCUAAAAUCACUGUCAAACGGACUCUAGAUCUCAUUUGCAUUAAACUUACUUCAGGGAAAACUCCAAUAGCAUUGGUCAAAGAUGGGGCUUCUAGAGGGACAAUGUUGUAGGGCAUGAGUUCUCCUGAUAAUGUUCCAUCUGAUCUUUUUAUCCUUCUCAACUGAAACAAACCAAACAAGAAAAAAGAAAAGGAAAGAAGAUACUAGUAAAUACUAAGUACUAGUUAAGAAAAAGAUUGUUGAAAGCAAUGAUAAAAAGUGCUACCUAUCCUAUUAAGCUCCAAAAGUACACAAAUGCUAAAUAAAAGCCAAAAAGAGAAUACUCCAAGAAGUUGAUAAAAUGUGUAAAGGACUGAUUGCCCGACUACCAGCAUCACUAAAGGUGAUAAGUCAAAAAACAAUAGCUCAAAGUCCAGGUAGACAUAAUAUUACUAACUGGAGCAAUCUCUCGAACAUCUAAAUCCUAACACCCACGCCCACCCCCCGCCCCUCUUUUUCCCCUUUUUAGGAUAGGCAAAUUAGAGAUAGAUUCAAUAGAGAACACAUAAAUCCCAAGUUACUAACAGCAACUGUGCAAACCAAUUAGAAAUUACAGCUCGGCCUUCAGAUUUCCUUUGUUAAGCAGAUUUCAUACUGUCACAUCCAAAGGAAGUCAGAAGACAAUCACCUCCUCCCUAAUAUGCAACCCAACACCAGAAUCAGCAUCUUUGUUAAGUGCCUCCAUGACCUCAACCAAAGCCCUCAAAGUAGCAAACACCUUUUUCAUUUUUAAGGAUCUGAGUUCCAUCCUGAAACAAUAAAAUCAUGUCAAAUCAAUCUGUCACCUUUUCUUUGAUAAGAAACAAAGACUCGUUCAGUGAACUGGCUGUGUAGAAUCCCAAAAGAAAAUACAGAAGUGAUUAAACUUCUAGGUGGCUGCUUCCACAUUAUGAGUGUAUCCAGUGACAACUAUUCGAUCACCGAAUUUUAGACUCUAAGAAAUAGUUAGUUUCAGAAAAUUUGAUCAAGCUUGAAGAGGAGAGUGAGGCAAACCAUUCUUCCAUAUUUACUUUUUGGUUAUCAGCAAUGCAAUUACAACAUUACUUGUAGGAAACAAGAAACAUUUCAGGAAAGAUAAAGCAUAAACAAGGAUGAGAUAUUGUUCAAAGAAAGUGAAACUGCAAAAACCUAAAGCCACACAAAAACCAGAACCCCAUCCAGAAAUCCCCAAGUAGGACAAAUUCUCGGCAAAAUCUAGAGGCUCCCUUCUUUGCAUGGCCAUCAGUGUGCUGAUACAUAGGCAACCAUGCAAAAGAGGAAAGAUGACCUUAGCCAAAUCAAGAUCUAACCCAUCCAAUGAAGUGGUCUACAAGGGCCCCCAUAUUCUGCAGGCAUCAAAGAAAUUACCACCAAGAAGUCCCCUUCCAAAAUUUUCCUUGAUAGGCUGCAUCAAUAUGUGUAGCCAGUUCCCUUUCAAUAAGUAAAUUAUGCAUGAAUCGACAAAAAGGUACUAAACAAUACCAAUUCACAAGGAUACAUUCGCACUACACAAAAAAUGGUGGGGGGAAGAAAAAGAAGAAAGAAAACCUUAAACAACACACAAGAUCCCCAAACUGCCAAAGCUUGGAACCUUAGUUUAGGCAAAGACUACUUUGUUGAUGAUGAAAUCCAGAAUUCUGGAAAAGCAUAAUUUCUUAAGAGUCUGUUUGGGAAUUGUUUUUAGAUAUAGCUUUUUGUUCUUAAAAAAAAAAAAAAUUGUUUUCCAAACUCAACAACAAAUUUGACACUUUUUGACAAAAAAAUAGUUUUUUGAGAACUUGUUACAAAAAUAAGUAUUUUCUUAUAUCAUUUUUUUUAUUGUUUUCACUUGUUUUCUAGGAACUAUUUUAAAAUUAAUUGUACAAACAUGAAGAAUGAUUGCAAAUAAAACAUUAUAGAUAAAAGUUAUUUUUAAGGAAUAUUUAAAAGCAUAAAGAACACGUUGAGAACACUCCAAGUCCCCAAAUAGACUUUCAUUCUAGAAAACAUCUGAGAACUAUUUUUGAAAACUAUCAUCAAAAGCUAUUUUGAGAGUUGUUUUUGAAAACGUUCCCAAACAAGCCUUUAAUGUUUUUACUGAUUCAAAUAUAUUGUUUCUCAAUAAAUGUAACCUCAAAUUAACCCCACUCCAGCUCCAAAAUUCAAUUUUAUCAACUAAGCAGAUUUAAUUCCCAAUUCUUGUAAUCAAAUAUGACAUAAGAGGAAACUGUUCUCAUGUCUCAGCCCUUUAAAGAAAUUAUGCAUAUAUGCAUCUAUAUGAGUGUAUCUGUUGUUAGCAUAAGCAGACAACUGCAUUACAAGGAAACUCAUAGAGCAGCAUAAUUUGGGCAACAGACAACUAGAUUAGAAGGAAACUCAUAAAGCAGCAUAAGUUGGUCAUACUCUCCCAAGUUAGCACUAAAAGUUCCAGUUUCACGCCAUUUUUGUUCCUCUCUUUGAAUAUCAUCCACUCGAUGUCGUCUCUUGUAGGACAGAUAAAAAUUCCACAAACGCUCAACAUCACGACUACGAUCUAUUUGAGUUCCAUCCCUUUUGGCAAGUUUUUGCUGCAGCAAAUAGUCAAAUCAUCAUAAAUUGUCAAGUAAAAAGGCAGAACUAGUACAGAGUACACAGUCAACAACUACGCCAAUCAGCUGAUGACGUAGCUGUAGGCAAAAUAAGAACCAUAAAGUGCCAUGUAUUUUACUAUGCCAGACAAAAGUAAAACUUAGUACCUUAAUUAUAGACUGCAAACCAGUUUUAAACUGGAGAACGCCUCUACCAUCACUGUUGGGAUCCAGAUUUUGUGCCAUAGUGUAUGCUUGCUCACACACUAAAAUCCAAAUGAAAAAAAAAAAAAUUAAUAAUUACCAGAAAGUUCAUUGAAAUAGUAGAGAUUAUCCAUGAUGAAAUGCUCAAGCUAAGAUACUCGCAUUUUCUCCUUUUUUUUUACAUUGCCCAAUGACUAUGGAAUUAAGGCAUAAGCUUUCUAGACUAGCCAAUUUGGUUUGGGUUCCUCCUAGAAUUGUAUUUGAUAUGUUAACCAUUUCUUUUAGGUUGGGACUACUAUUAAGAGCAAAGUUCUAUGGCAAAUCGCUUGUCUUACGUUGAUUUGGAUAGCAUGACCAAAAAAGAAAUGCCAUGGAUCUUCGAGGACAAGUGAAGGACAUCCGAAAUGUUAUGGAACCUAGUCUAUUUAAAUUCAUCAUUUUGGGUGUCUACUACUACAACUUUUAAGGUCAGCCUCUCAACUUUAUUCAACUUGAUUGGAUUUUGAUAUGUAGUUCAAAAGUGUCAAAAUAGUAACGUUGAGACGUUUUUAUAUAUUCUAGUAUCUUUUUUCUUUUUCUUUGUUUGAUCAGGUUUGUAAUUAGGGAAGGAUUGUUCAUCCUUCUCAAUUUUACUCUUUUAAUGAAAACAUUUUUGUUUAUGAUUCCAAAAAUAAAAAAAGAUACUCACAUUUUCUCCAACAAAACGCUAUCAACUUCACCAAAAGUGAACAAGCCCCUCAAGAAAAACUAAUAUUUUGUAAUAGAUCAUAAGGAGGGCAUCCUUGAUUGAAAAAGACAUUACCCAAAGUUGUACGAUUCUACUUCACAAAGACAUUUGGGAAUGGUUUUUGAAACUGCCGCAAGAGAUCUGAAGCAAUAGAGCAAGGCGGUUUCAAUAGUACCUUUGCAUUUUGGGAGAAGACAUGGUAAGGACGUUGAAGGUCUUUGUGGAGAGGAAGACUUUCUUGGUUAGGUUGGAAGGCAAGCACGGAGGAAAUUGGUGCUCGAUUAUAGAGCAUAGUAGAGCCUUUGUUUUUGUCCUAGGUUUUGAAAAGGAUGCAGUCGGGUGGAUGAUCCAACAUUUGACGAAAGCCAUCAAAAUGAAGAGUCACCUGGGAUUCAACAGAAAGUUCAAGGGAAAAUGUUGUGUCCACUUGAUGGAAGUUGGCUUCAACAACCACGGAAGGUUCAUAAGGAUCUCGGAGUUUGCUACCAAAAGAAAAUCUUCUUUUCUGAUUAUUCCUAAGGGCGAGAAGGGCAGAGGAUGGGAGAAUAUUAAAAGCGUGUUGUCUUCAAUGUUGGUGGUCCCCCAUUCGAAUGUAGUCGAAAAAGGAAGGCAAUAUAGAGGGGAAAGAUUUUCCCACAAUCACAUGGGUCCUCUGCAUCGGUCCUUCGCGAAAGUAGUCAGUGGUGAAGGACCAAGAGGAGGAGGCCUUAUUCCUGUCGGGAGGUGGGCACGAGCCGUGGAGUGUGAACGCAAUGAUGAUAGCGUUAAAUGGGUUGAGGUUGGCCGAGCGAUGAUGAGAAGCUUAGGGAAGAAAGGUGUAGUAACGAUUGUACCCAUCUCAGGUGGAAAAGGAGUAUUUUUCGUUGAAACAACAGAGGAAGCUCUCUUUCUCCAAGAUUUGAGGAAUUUAAGGGUUGAGGGAAGGAAUACAGUCCAGUUGCGAAGAUGGUCACCGAAGGAAAAUUCGGAAAUAGAGGGGAAGUUCAGGAGGAGGCUGGAUUGAAUUACGGGGGUUGCCAUUUCAUCUAUGGUCUGAGGUACACCUGAAGAAAAUUGUGGAGCAGUGGGGGACGGUGACUGAAAUUGAUUGGCGAACGUUGAAACUGUUCGAUCUUAGCAAGGCGAGGGUAAGAAUCGCAAUGAAGGAUAGGUCAGUCCUCCCAGCUUUGAUCGAGGUGACAGACAGGGAUUGGGUGUUUACAGUUUCCGUCGUAGUAGUCGAAGAUGAAGACGGUCGAAGAGGUAGCAUAAAGGGCAAGUCGACUGAGGAGGUUAUUGCAUCUCAUUCAAGGACAGGUGGAGAAAGGCCGGGGGAGAGAGUUAGAUCAACGGCUGGGGGAAGAUGCCGUGUCGGGGAAGAUAGCAGAAUGAGGAAGGGGGGAGAAAGGGGUAUGGUUGCGUUUCUUUCAUAGGGGACACAUGGUAAGGAUGGUCAGAUUCCAUCGCUGCCUAGUUUGAAUUCAAAUAAAACGGACGAUGGGCUUGUUGAGAUUGAGGAAGCGGGAAGAGUUAGGGCUGGAGGGGACGAGGCCUCCGCUGUUGAGGGUUGUCGAGCCUACGAGAGGAAGGCCCAAUCAUUGUCUAAGACUGGUCCAAAAUAUGCAAAAGUGGGCUGCAAUUCCAAAGGCCCGUUGGGGUUGGGCCUAAGCCUAGGAGGAAAAAACCCAGAUGAGACGGUGGUGUCAUUACGAAAGGAAGAAGAUCCUUCUGCAACAGGAAAGGGGAAAACAGUUUUCGUAUUUCUUGAGGUUCGAUCAAGUAGUUCCGCGAAGAAGAAGGUGAUGUUUGGUUCAAAGAAGUUGUGGUUUACCCUUUUUCCUCCAAGCUCUGAGAGCCGACAAGGUCUUUGGUGUCGCAGCGAGCCUCUAUUGCAUGGGAAGAAUCAAGCAGACAGCGAAGAGGACCCAAAGGAAGAGGCUACCGGGGCCGAUUUUCAGGCGGAUCGAGGAUCUAGUGCGAGUCCUCUCUUUUCUCGUUGAUUUCCAAGGUUUCGGAAUAAUUGUUUGGGGGAAGGGGCUUCGUCGUCAAGAAACGAAGUGGCUUUAAACAAAUUUUCCUCCGACAAAGACAGGGAAGGAUUUUUGGGCCGAGUGGGGUUCGAUCUUCGUGGCUCAGCAAUCAUUGUUUUGCCCUCUACACCUGAAAUCAGAGGUAAAAGGCUUAACUUUAUGGGGAAUUGUGGAUUGUUGGUCGCGGAAAAUUUGGAGGUAAUCCUGUCUUCACCUAUUCAGUCACCCUCGUCUUCUAUACUCCCUUCUUGUGGUUUGACUUCUUCUUUUCUGAGUCCUUCUGUUCCCAAUCUUCCCAGUUCAGCCUUUUAGUCUCAGUUUCCUUUGGAAAAUCGAGUAAACUCUAAAUUUUUUUCCAAAAAAGACAACGAUGGUUCUGUAGGUCAAUCUUUUGUUGGCAUCCCUAAUCUUGUAAUGGAGGUGAUCCAACCUGCUUAUCCAUACCAGAUGACCGAGAGUGUUAACCCAUUUUUGCCUAAACCAAUUUCGCUUAAUAAGGCCUCCAACCUGGUUACAGUUAGCCAGGGUGUUACUGCGGGCUCCCCAUCGGGUGUGUUCCAAAUUGAAGGACUGUCCCCCAGGAAUAUGGCAAAAGUGUGCGAGGUUUUAAAAUCUCCGGAUAUUAAGGUAUUUUUCAGGAGGAAGAGCAGAUGCUCCACAGGUUUGUGAGACCUGUUGGAACUGGAUUGAAGGAUUAGGGUCUGUGAGUUUAAUCCAUGAAGAUAAUUAGUUGGGAUUCCAGGGGUUUGGGUUCAAGAAAAAAGCGAAGGGUGGUUAAAGAUUUUCUAAGAUUAGAAAAGUCGGAUGUAGUGAUGAUUCAGGAAACAAAAAAGGCGGAGUGCGACAGAGGGUUCGUGGGUAGUGUUUAGACAGUUAGAAAUAAGGAAUGGGCAACCCUUUCGGCGUGCGGAGCUUUGGGUGGGAUUUUGAUUAUUUGGGACUCUAAAAAACUACGUAGUGAGGAGGUGGUAAUAGGUUCCUUUUCGGUCUCAAUCAACUUCACAUUGGAUGGAUGCAAACCAUUAUGGUUAUCCGCAAUUUAUGGCCCAAACAGCACAAUACUUAGGAAGGAUUUUUGGGUGGAGCUUUUAGACAUUUUUGGACUUUCUUCCCCGUGUUGGUGUGUGGGUGGUGAUUUCAAUGUCAUAAGGAGAAAUUCAGAAAAAUUGGGAGGUUCUAGUUUAACCCCAAGCAUGAAAGACUUUGUUGAUUUUAUAAGAGAAUGUGAAUUGAUAGAUUCUUUACUCUAAUGAGUGGGAACAAUUAUUUCCUCAAAGUCUUCAAGAAGUUCUUCCUAGAUGAACAUCGGAUCAUUGGCCGAUAGUCUUGGAAACCAAUCCGUUCAAGUGGGGCCCAACACCGUUUAGGUUUGAGAAUAUGUGGUUGCAACAUCCUAGUUUUAAGGAGCGCUUUGGAAGUUGGUGGAGAGAGUUUCAAGGAAAUGGGUGGGAAGGUCACAAAUUCAUGAGGAAAUUACAAUUCAUUAACGCCAAAUUGAAAGAGUGGAAUAAGGCUUCUUUUGGAGAGCUAAAUGAAAGGAAAAAAAGUAUCAUGUUUGAUUUAGCUAACUUUGAUACCUUGGAGCAAGAAGGUGGUCUCUCCCCUGAACUUUUAGUCCAGAGAGCUUUAAGAAAAGGGGAGUUAGAGGAGUUGAUUUUGAGGGAAGAAAUACAUUGGAGACAAAAAGCUAGGGUGAAAUGGGUUAAGGAAGGGGAUUGUAACUCAAAAUUUUUUCAUAAAGUGGCUAAUGGCAGGCGAAAUAGGAAAUAUAUCAAGGUGUUGGAGAAUGAAAGAGGCCUAAUGUUGAAUAAUUCAGAAAGCAUCAAAGAGAAGAUCUUAAGGUAUUUUGAAAAGCUCUACGCGAGCCCUUCUGAAGAGUCUUGGAGAGUUGAAGGCUUAGAUUGGUCCCCUAUCUGGAGAGGGUGCGUCUAGGUUGGAAUCCCCUUUUACUGAAGAAGAGAUUUCUAAGGUUAUUUUUCAGUUGGAUAGGGAUAAGGCACCGAGGCCUAAUGGCUUUACCAUUGCAGUAUUUCAAAAUUGUUGGGAUGUGAUCAAGGAGGAUCUAGUGAGAGUGUUUGCAGAGUUUCACAGGAGCGGGAUUAUCAAUCAAAGCAAUAAUGCUUCCUUCAUAGUUCUGUUACCCAAAAAAAGCAUGUCAUAGAAAAUCUCAGACUAUAGACCUAUUAGCUUGACCACUAGUCUUUACAAGAUAAUAGCCAAAGUGUUAGCAGGGUGUCUAAGAGGGGUACUUCAUGAAACUAUCCAUUCUACUCAAGGAGCUUUUGUUCAAUGGAGACAAAUUUUGGAUACAGUUCUCAUAGCCAAUGAGAUAGUGGAUGAGAAAAGAUGAUUAGGGGAGGAAGGAGUUGUCUUCAAAAUUGACUUAGAAAAGGCUUAUGACCAUGUGAGUUAGGAUUUUUUGGAUCAUGUGUUGGAGAAGAAGGGGUUUAGUCCUAGAUGGAGGAAAUGGAUGAGAGGUUGUUUGUCCUCGAUAUCUUUUGCAAUCCUAGUGAAUGGAAAUGCUAAAGGGUGGGUUAAGGUAUAUAGAGGUUUAAUACAAGGAGACCCUUUAUCCCCUUUUUUGUUCACUUUAGUUGCAGAUGUAUUGAGCAGGAUUUUAUUUUUUAUUUUUUUAGAUAAGUGCGCAAAUAUAUUACGAGGCAAAAAGCCACAAAGCAUACAAAGAGUAUACAUAGUAGCCUAAGCAAAAACAACACUCACCACCCCUUAGGGAACAGCAAGAUGUAUUGAGCAGGAUUUUAUUUUUUAUUUUUUUAGAUAAGUGCGCAAAUAUAUUACGAGGCAAAAAGCCACAAAGCAUACAAGGAGUAUACAUAGUAGCCUAAGCAAAAACAACACUCACCACCCCUUUGUAAUUUUUCGAGCCUUUUAGCAACUAGCUUAGGCAUGCGAAAAAGAGACAAUUGGUAAAUAGGCAUGCUGGCCAAGGUGCUUUCAAUGAGGGUAAUCCUCCCGCCCUUUGACAAAUAUUGUCUUUUCCAACGGGCAAGCCUUCUUCUCAUUCUUGCUUCAACCCCGUCCCACAUAGCCAUGGUCUUGUGCUUGGCUCCCAAGGGCAGCCCCAGAUAAACAGAAGGAAAGGCCCCCACUUUACACCCUAACUCCACCGCCAACUCAUCAAUGUCUUCCACCUCCCCAACCGGGAUUACUUCACUUUUAGCAAGGUUUAUUUUAAGACCAGAGGCUGCCUCAAACCACACCAAAAUCCAGCUUAGGUAGGUAAGGUGAUCUUGCCUUGCUUCACAAAAAAUAAUCGUGUCGUCAGCAAAAAGUAAGUGGGAAACAUUUAUCUCCAUUCCCCCCCUCCCUCGAAUCCUACAGCCUGAAAUGAAACCCCCAUCAACAGCCCUUCUUAAAAGAGCGCUUAGCACUUCCAUUCCCAACACAAAGAGGUAGGGGGAGAGUGGAUCUCCUUGGCGUAGCCCCCUAGAAUUGGAGAAAUAACCAGUUGGCACCCCAUUGACCAGAAUAGAGAAACUUGCAGUUGAGAUACACCACCACAUCCAUUUCUUCCACCGGUCCCCAAAACCCAUCUUGUGCAUGACCUUCAUGAGGAAAUUCCAAUUAAUACUGUCAUAGGCUUUUUCAACAUCCAAUUUACAAAUCAGCCCUUUCUCUUUGCGUUUAAGCCAAUAGUCAAUCACCUCAUUGGCUAUGAGCGAGGCAUCUAAAAUCUGUCUUCCCUUCACAAAAGCAUUUUGAUCCAGCGAAACCACCUUGUCUAAAACCUCCUUAAGUCUAUUGGCUAACACUUUGGCCAAGAGCUUAUACAGACCCUCAAGCAGACUGAUGGGUCUGAAGUCCCCCAAGUCCUCAACCCCCCCUUUCUUGGGGAUGAGGACUAGGAAGGUAGAGUUGAGACUCUUGGCAAACGACUUUUCUUCAAAAAACUCUUUGAACAAGUCCACAAUCUCCUCUUUCACGAACUCCCAACAAGAUUGCCAAAAGGCCACUGUGAAUCCAUCCGAGCCUGGGGCCUUAUCUCCAUUCAUCCCCAUCAGAGCCACAUGAAUCUCUUCCUCAGUAAAUGGUUGUUCCAAGCCUUCAACUUCAGCAUGGUUUAAUCUUUGGAGCUGCAGCCCUUCAAUAUCAGCUUCCCAGGAUUGCUCCUCUGACAACAGCUGCUGAAAGGCAUUCACAACCCCCUCUCUCACCUCCUGCUCCUCCUCUAGCCACCUCCCAUUGAUUUUAAUCUUUUCCAUGGAAUUAUUUCUUCUAUGAGCAUUAGCCAUCCGAUGAAAGAAACCAGUGUUCUUAUCUCCUUCCCUAAGCCACAACUCCCUAGACAAUAGUCUCCAAUGCGUUUCUUCCAAAAGCACCCAUUUUUUAAAGACAUCCUUGGCUUCUGUUUUCAGCUCCGUCUCUCUUUCAGUUAGGCUCCUGUCACUCUCCAUCCUAUCCCAAAAUUCUACUUGUUGCAAGGCUAGGUUUUUGUUGACUUCCAGCCUACCAAACACAUCCCUGUUCCAAGUUUUGAGCAGGAUGUUAUUGAGAGCAGAGGAAAGAAAUGCCUUGAAGGGUGUUUCAGGGUGGGUAGGAACAGAACAAGGGUGUCCCAUUUACAAUUCGCAAAUGAUACCAUUUUCUUUUCUAGCACUCGAGAAGAGGAUAUGCUGACCCUCAAGAGUGUUUUGCUAGUGUUUAGGCAUAUUUUUGGGCUAAAGGUUAACCUUGACAAAAGUAAUACUUAUGGCAUUAAUCUUGAACAGAAUCAUCUCUCUAAGUUGGCUGAGUUGCUCGAUUGCAAGGCUUCGGGGUGGCCUAUACUCUACUUGGGUCUUCCUCUGGGAGGGAAUCCCAAGGCUUGUGGCUUUUGGGAUCCUGUGAUUGAGAGGAUCUCAAGAAGAUUAGAUGGGUGGUAAAAGGCAUAUUUAUCUUUUUGAGGCAGGAUAACUCUCAUUCAAUCUUGUCUCACCCAUAUGCCCUGUUACUUCCUCUCCUUGUUUAAGAUUCCCGCCUCAGUGGCAGCAAAAAUUGAGAGAUUGCAAAGAGAUUUUUUAUGGUCAGGGGUUGGGGAAGGCAAAAGAGAUCAUCUGGUUAGCUGGGAUGUAGUGUGUAAUCAGAAGGCGAAAGGGGGACUGGGAUUUGGAAAGAUUUCUAUAAGGAAUUUCGCUCUCUUAGGGAAAUGGUUGUGGAGAUAUCCUAGGGAGGGUUCAACUCUGUGGCAUCAGGUUAUUUUAAACAUUUAUGGAUCACACUCCAAUGGUUGGGAUGCCAACACUGUAGUCAGAUGGUCACAUCGUUGUCCUUGGAAGGCUAUUGCACAAGUCUCCCAAGAGUUUUCCAAAUUUACUCGGUUUGUGGUAGGAAAUGCGAAAAGAAUUCGGUUCUAGGAAGACUUGUGUGGGGGGACCAGCCUUUGGGGGUCCAAUAUCCAAGACUACUUAGAGUAGUCACGGAUAAAAAUACUCCUAUUUCUUCAAUACUCGGCUCUACUCGCCCCUUCUCUUGGAACUUUAACUUUCAUCGGAACCUUUCCGAUUCUACGAUAGAAGAUUUAGAAGGCCUCAUGCGGUCUCUUGAUCGUCUACAUUUAUCACCUUCAGUUCCAGACAUGAGAUCCUGGUCUUUAUCUCCUUCAAAACUUUUUACAGUCAAAUCUUUAUUUCUUGCCUUAUCCCAAUUUUUUGGUUUGCCUCCAGUUUUCCCUACUAAGUUCAUCUAGAAUUCUCAAGUCCCUUUCAAAGUCAAGUCCUUCGUCUGGUUAGUGGUACACAAAAAGGUAAAUACUAAUGACUUGCUAUAGUUGCUAUAGUUGACAAAUGAAGCUAAGGAGAACUUCAAAAAAUGGGUUCUUUUGGAAGAAGCCCAUUGGAGACAAGUGUCUAGGGAGUUGUGGCUUAGAGAAGGGGAUAAGAAUACAGGGUUUUUUCACAAGAUGGCUAGUGCCCAUUGGAGAAAUAACUUUUUGGACAGAAUUAAAAUAAAUGGGGUGGAAUUGGUUGAGGAACAGGAGGUGAGGGAGGGGAUUGUGAAGGCCUUUCAGCACCAGCUAAGGGAAGACCCAGGGUGGAGAGCCGACUUAGAGGGUCUGCAACUUAAAAGUCUUGACCUUAGUGAAGCUGAAGCUUUGGAGGUCCCCUUUACUGAAGAAGAAAUAUUCUCUGCUUUGAUGGAUAUGAACGGCGAUAAGGCCCUAGGCCCGGAUGGGUUUACCAUGGCCUUUUGGCAAGUUUGUUGGGACUUCAUUAAGGAGGAGGUAGUAGAGCUGUUCAAGGAAUUUUACGAUCAGAAGUCUUUUGCCAAAAGUCUGAAUUCUACAUUCUUGGUCAUCAUUCCAAAAAAAGGUGGGGCUGAGGAUCUAGGGGAGUUUCAGCCCAUCAGCCUGCUAAGGGGGCUGUACAAGCUUAUGGCCAAAGUGUUGGCCAAUAGGCUAAAAAUGGUGUUAGAUAAGGUGGUUUCGGCUGAUCAGAACGCGUUUGUGAGGGGGAGACAAAUUCUAGAUGCCUCUCUUAUAGCUAAUGAGGUGGUUGACUAUUGGCAGAAGAGGAAAGAGAAGGGGCUGGUGUGUAAAUUGGAUAUUGAGAAAGCCUACGACAGCAUCAACUAGAGCUUCCUUAUGAAGGUCUUGAAAAAGAUGGGCUUUGGGUCGCGUUGGAUGGAAUGGAUGUGGUGGUGUUUUUCAACGGCAAAAUUUUCUGUCCUUACUAACGAGGUACCAGAAGGCUUCUUCUCCAGUUCUAAGGGCCUGCGUCAAGGAGACCCAAUUUCUCCUUAUCUUUUUAUCUUGGGCAUGGAAGUGCUGAGUGCACUCAUUAGGCGGGCAGUGCAGGGGAACUUCAUCUCUGGUUGUAGGCUAAGAGGUAGAGGGGAUGCGGAGAUUAUGGUGUCUCAUCUGCUCUUUGCAGACGACACUAUUAUCUUCUGCGAGGCUAGUAAGGACCAAUUAACUCAUCUUGGAUGGAUUUUGGUGUGGUUUGAGGCGGCUUCUGAGCUUAGGAUCAAUCUGGCCAAGAGUGAGCUUAUUCCAGUUGGGGAGAUUGAUAAUAUUGAGGAAAUGGCUGUGGAAUUAGGCUGCAGAAUUGGAAGCUUUCCGGUUAAAUACUUGGGGCCCGGCACAAGGCCUUGUCCACGUGGGACGGGGUGGAGGAAAGAAUGAGGAGAAGACUUGCCCUUUGGAAAGACAAUACUUGUCUAAGGGCGGGAGAAUCACCCUUAUUAAGAGUACCUUGGCCAGCAUCCCCAUCUAUCAAAUGUCCAUCUUUAGAAUGCCUAAGUCAGUGGUUAAAAGGCUUGAGAAAUUACAAAGAGAUUUUCUUUGGGGAGGGGGAAGCACGGGUAGGAAAAUCCAUUUAAUUAAUUGGAAGGUGGUGUGUACUCAAAAGGAGAAGGGGGGUCUUGGUAUUAGGAGGAUGGGGUUACUAAACAAGGCCUUAUUGGCCAAGUGUAUUUGGAGAUUUGUCGUUGAAAAGGACGUCUUGUGGAAGAAGGUGAUCGGGGUGAAGCAUGGGCUGGAGGGUUGUGGUUGGAAAUCUAAGGAAGUUCGGGGGCCCUUUGGAGUGGGAGUUUGGAAGGAGAUUUUGAAGGAGAUGAGCUGGUGUUGGAAUAACAUGAAGUACAAGGUGGGGAGGGGGACUAAGAUUAUGUUCUAGACUGAUCAUUGGUGCGGCAACGUAGCGCUGUCCCAAGCGUUUCCCCAGAUUUUUGCCUUGGCAGUGUGCAAUAACGAAUUGGUGAAUGAUGUGUGGGACCCAAGGCUUGGCCAAGGAGGGUGGAAUCUCAGAUUGGCUAGAGAUUCUAACGAUUGGGAGUUGGUGUUAAUAGAAGACUUGCUCUUCUUGCUAAGGGACAUCAGGGUAACCCCAGAGGAGGACUCAGUGCUUUGGAAAGGAGGAGAUUCUGCCAGUUUUCGGAUUCGGGUGGUUUACAAUCUGCUGGCAGCCCCUAAUCCUCUCGUCUUUCCGGGAAAAAAUAUUUGGGUGGACAAGGUCCCAACCAAAGUUGCUUUUUUUGCAUGGAAGGUACUUGGGAAAAAAUCCUCACAUUGGAUAGGCUGCAAAAGCGUGGGUGGCAGCUUCCAAAUCGUUGUUUUUUGUGUGGUUGUGAAGAGGAAAAUGUAAAUCACAUUCUUUUACACUGUACAGUGGUUAGGGCCCUAUGGGAAAUCGCCUUUGCCUUAUUUGGGGUUCAGUGGGUAUUUCCAAAGAAGGUCAAAGAGGCGUUGUUCUGUUGGCAGGGCCCUUUUGUGGGUAAAAAAAGGAAGAAGAUAUGGAAGUCCAUUCCGUUAUGGAUUUUUUGGACGGUGUGGAAGGAAAGAAAUAGGUUAGCUUUUAGAGGGGGUUCUUUGGCUAUUCAGACUCUUAAGAACUCUUUUGUAUGUAGUCUGUGGAAUUGGGCUAAGUUGUAUAGGGGAGAGGAGUCCUCUUCACUUUUAGGCUUCUUGGAGUGGGUAGCGGUCCCCUAAGGACUGGUGAGGUGUUCCUGCUUUUGUUUUUUUUGGCCUUGUGGCUGCUUUGUAUACUUCCUGUAUGCGGUGCGGCCUUUUGGCCUUCUUUAAUAUAUAUUCUGCUCUCGCUUAUCAAAAAAAAAUAGUUGAGAAGACUUACAAAGCACUUAGUCCCGAUAUUUGUAAGUUGUGCAUGAAACAUGGAAAAACAGUAGACCAUCUUUUUUUCCAUUGCUCUUUGACGGGGUUGUGGCACAGAUUAUUUUAGUUAGCAAAAAUGGAUUGGGUUCCCCCAAAGAGCAUCUUUGACAUGCUAUCUACCAAUUUUAACGGUUUUGAAUCUUCUAAGAGAGGGAUUGUUUUAUGGCAAGCUGCGUGCAUCGCUUUAAUUUGGGUGGUGUGGUAGGAAAGAAAUGAAAGGAUUUUUGAAGAUAAAGUAAGGAAUUCAAAAAACCUUUGGGAUUCUAUUCAUUUCCUUGCUUCUCUUUGGGCUUUUUGUUCUAAGGUUUUUAAGGGGAUUCCCCUUAACGUGUUACAACUUAAUUGGUUAGCAGUGUGUAAUCCCAAUGGGUUGGCCUAACCUAGAAAGUUUGCUUGUUUUUACUUUGUAUUUUCUUGUAUUUGAUUCCUUGUAGUUUUGUUUUUCUUUGGUGGGAGGAUUCCUCAUCCUUCUCUUGUACAUCCUUUUUAUCAAUAUAUUCCUUCGUCGUUUCCUAUCAAAAAAAGAGACAUUACCCACUCAACAUCAAAGAGAGCAAAGAUAAGAUGCCACAACAUAAUUGCCUUGGGACAAUGAAGGAAGGUAUAGUUUGUUGACUUUCUUUUCACUUUUGCACAAAUAACAUCUACUUGGAAGAUACCAACCCCUCCUUUUUUGUUGGUCUAAAGUAAGAAUUUUUUUCCAAAUUGUUUCCCAAGCAAAAAAGCAAACUCUCAUUGGGACCCAAGGAUUCCACACAAUGCUUGUGAGGAAUCCUUCCAUAGAGAGACUUGUUAAGGAGGACUAAAAGAACUUAACCAUAAAGGUGUCUCCAUUAGAUAACCGCCAAGCCAUUACAUCCUCAACACCUUUUUUGAUCACUUGCUCUUGCAACCUUUUGAGCAACUCUUCCACCCCUCCAGAAUUCCCAAUCAUUUAUCUACCUUGUGAACACUCCCAAGCAUCUUUAUCAAUAGCUAUAAGAAGCAACUCUGGAAAAGUCACAGCAAAGGAAUCUUCCCCAAACCACCUAUCCAUCUAAAACCUCACCCUCCUACCAUUUCCAACCCUAAAACCAACCAUAAUGUUAAACUUCUUCCACCUACUUUGGAUCGCCUUCCAAUGGCCCACCUCAUAACCUUCCCACAAAGCUCCAAAACAUUAUCCCCCCUCUUCCUCUCCAUACUUCCCUACAAUCACAUGUUUCUAAAGAGAAUCAUUUUCAGAAGAAAAUCUCCACUUUGCCUUUAUUUGAUUUCUUUGAUUGGUUCGGUUGUAAGUGAAGCGUUGUAUAUCCCUCCUUUUUUUUAGCCUUGUAUACAUCAUGUAUACUUAUAGGUGCUUUUUAGAUGCUUUUAAUGCAAAUUCUUUUACUUAUCAAAAAAAAAAAAAUAAGUGAUGGGUUUCUUCAAAGAGAUCUAUUAUUUUUUAUUUUUUUUAUUUUUACAGGAAACAAGAAUGAAUUAUAUUGAAAUAGAAAUUAAGAAAUACAAAAAAAGGAUGAGGAAUUCUCCCACAAAUGAAAGCUAAACAAAAUGAAAAUCAAAAGCAAAAAGCUAUUUAGUAAUUACAAAAAGCAACCUCUCCCUACUAACCCACACCCUUGGAGCUACACACCGCUAACCAAUCUAGUUGAACCACAUUGAGGGGAAGGCUCUCAAAAGAUGUGAUG